AAAAAAAAAAAAAAAAAGUUUGAAAACAUAUAAUAUAUUAGGUCUUAAAUAAUUUGUGAAAAAAUAGUCUCAAGUAAUUUGAAGAUGCACAAUGACGAAUUUCUAAACUUCCACACUUCAAAAAAAUGGGAGAGAGAUUGCUUCAAAUACUCAAUUCAAAGUUUUUGAAGAUUCAAAGAACACGUUCAAAAUUUCAAAAAACACAUUAAAAAUUUUGAAGAAAUUUUGGAGAAUAAGUUUAAGACAUCUUCAAUUUGAAAUCAAUCAUUCACAUCCUUGAUUAACAUUACACAAGUUGCAUCAAACCCCAAAUCAAGUCAAACUCAAGUCCAACUAAACUAUUAAAACACUUUCAAUUACAAUAUCAAACUGACAUAAGGGUGGGCAUACAUAUUUUAUUUAUUAAACAUUUUGAAAAAUUGAAGAGGGCAUACUAGAUAGAGGUUGAUUAUUAACUAGUCUAAAGUCUAAAUAUGACAACUUAAGAGGCUAAAUUCUAACUGGUUAUCAAGUGUCUUCUCUCGUAACUAUUGUUCACGGAAAUCAUAAUCUUACAACUCUAUAAUUGAAGUUCCCAUUAAAAAAAAAGAAAAAGAAAAGAAAAACUCUUUCUUUUAGCCAAAAUCCCUUCCUAUAUUUAUUUUUCUUAUAAUGAAUAUUUUAAUAAGAAAUUAAUUGCUUAAUUAUCAAAGAUACUUUGUUUUAUAAGAAAAUUUCAUAAUAUGAUAUUUUUUUUAUAUAAUAAUAGGAUAGUUUCUUACAAGAAUUUAUUAUAAACAUUGAAGACUUACAAAUUAACUUUAAAAGAGAAUUUGUAACAUAUUUUAACAAUAUCCACCUUGAUUCAAAUUCUCAAGGGUCAAGCAAAUUCAAAAGUUUUUGUAUCACUUUGUUCUCAUGUCUUAAAAAGAGCCUUCAAAUAAUAUAGACAGAUUAAAUCUAAACAAUGCAUGAUUUAAUAGUAAGAUUAGGCUUAAUCAUCAUAUUUAUCAGAUUAUUCAUUAUCGAGAUCUUUUGUCACAGCAAGAGUAUCUUAAGCAAUCAUAUCCUCAAUGAUUUAGUAUUCUAAUAUCCUCAAAUCUAUAAUAGCUAACUUUAUUGAACUCAUCAAAAUAGUCUUUUAAUACAUUUUCCUCCUUUCACUUAAAGAAUAAACAAUAACCUUUGUAAAUGCAAGUGAUUUGUAAGAAAUUUCUUCGUAUAUAAACAUUCCAACUUCAAUAAUAACUUAAUAGUUGUAUUAUCUUUUAUAAUAUCACGAAAUACUUCAUUACCUAAACAUUAUGCACUUUUUACAUAAAUUCAUCAUUCUUUUUUGUAAAUAUUAUUGCAAGUAGAGAGAUCUACAGCUUUUUAUGUUUUGACAACUUUUCUUAAUCUAAUUUUUAGUCGUUUUUUCUAUUAAACUUCUAAACAUUAAACUUUGUCUUCAUUCCAAGUUUACCAACCUUAACUUUCAUACUAAUUUAUUACCAAGAAAAAAAACAAUAAUAAGGGGAAGAAAACAAAAAAAUGAAAAUAAAAAAUAUAAAAUGUAGACAAUAAUUUACAUUAUUUGGUCUAAAGUACUAUAUAUCCAUAUAUGCAAAGAUAAUAAAGAACUUUUAGUAUUGUUUAAAGAUUACAAUCUUAUAGUUCUCUAAUCCAAAAUCCCAAUUACACCUAACAAAGGACUCUUUCUUUCCAUCAAAAUCUCCUUUUUUAUGAAUUAUUAAAGAUACCUAUUUAUAUAAAAGAAUAUCAUAAUAAGAUAUUUCCUCACGCUUUUCGUAAAAAGAUAUCUUAAUAAUAAAAUAUCAAACACGUAUAAAUUGAUGUAAAAGGAUGUUUGAUAUGUACACCUUCCAUCAUAUGAACAUGUUGUUCUUUAAAGAGAGAGAACCAGGAAAAACACCAAGAAACGCUAACUCCUCUUAAAUUAUAAUUAUAAAUUUUAAGUAUGAUUAAGGGUGAUGAUUUUGACAUGGUACAUUAACAUGAGUAGAAAAUGAUACCAAUUUUUAUAAGUUUAGCUUAAGUAUAACCAUAUUCAUGUCAUAAUCGUUUCAACCCAUAUAACCAAUUAAAAAAAGGUUGUGUUCAUAUUUAGUUGUUCAACCCUUCUAAAUUAUUUAAUAUGCCCACUUAAUCAUAUCAAAAUGAUCAAUUUACUUAAUGGUGUCAAAUUGACUCAUAUAUAACUCAUUCAUUUAUGAUUGUUUAAUUAAUAUAAAUUGAUUAAUUUUAUACAUUUAAGAUUUAAAAAUAGUUUUUUAAUUAUAAAUAUCAUAUACUUCAAAAAAUUAAGUAAUUAACCUAGUAAAUUUUAUAUAUUAAAUAUUAAAUAAAAUAACAAAUAAGUAUAAAAAUAAGGUUUUAAUUUAAUUUUUAUGUUGUAAAAAUAUAAUAAUUAAAAUUAAAUAAUUCAAUUAAAUAUUUUUUUUUUUUAACUAAGUUUAAAAUUUAAGGAAACUAGAAAAAGAUUUUAAAUAAUAUGGUACACGGGAACAAUUAUUGGCAUUUAAAUUUCGUAGUAUGUUGCAUGAACGAGGUGAGGGGAUGAUUAAUGAGUAGAAAAUGCAUACAGAAGCGAAAAGUCCGGCUCACUUGAUACGGCAAUGGAAGUGGCGAUAGAUUUGGACAGGGUGACAGAUGAACGGGCCUUGGGCCUUGGGCCUUCAGUCAAUGGUUUUGUCCUUGCAGUAGACACUUUUCAUUUUUGCAUUUGCUUUCUCUAUAAAGGUGAGGGGCCGAUUCUUAGAUCAAUCAGAUUUCAUACCCUUGCAUUGGUGCACAGUAUCUAAAUGGAUGUCUUGCUCUUCCUCACGUUUCUAUCAUCUCCAACGGUUUCAUCGUCAACCAUUCAUAUUUUGAGUUCAUUCAAAUAAUACAAGGAAGUUACAAAAUUCUCUUAAACUUGGAAGGGGGUUAAAUUAUAUUUUAUAUUAUAAUUAAAAUAUAAUGUAAAAUGUUAUAUUAUAUUAAUGUUACUAGUUUAAAAAAAAUACUAAGAAAAAAAAAACAUUAAUGAAAAUGAUUUUUUAAAUAUUUAUUUUAAUAUGGAAAGAAAACAUAUAUAAUUAAAAAAAUUAUAUAUUUCUAAAUUAUUUAAUAUUUUAUAUAAAAAAAAUUAUAAUAAGUUUAAAGUAGUAUAUAAAAUAAUUUAUCAAUUUUAAAUUUAUUUUUUCAUUUUUAUUUUCUGUUUUUACACCAUAUUUGAUCCUAAAAAAGUAUACAAUGAUGGAAAAAUAUACUAAAUAAAAUAAUUUUCUCAUAUUUAGUUUAUUAAAAAUUGUAAAUAUAUAUAAUAUAAUAUAAUUAAAUAAUUAUGUAUUUUCAAAUUAGGUAAAAAAAAAAAUUUUAUAAAACAAUUAAAAUAAGUUAGACGAGUUUGAAACUCCAUAUAAAAAUAAUUUAUUGAUUUAAAAUCUAUUUUUAUUUCCUUUAACAUUUUUCCCUUUUUUUUUUAUAUAUUUUCUUUCAUAUUUUCCAAAUACUUCAAAUAGCACUCUAUUCUCUAUUUUCAAGUUUGUAUCUUUGUGAAACUCAUGUAAUCCUGUUCCAUGAUAACCUUCCCAUGACUACAAAGGAAGGUGGCAACAUAUCAUUGGGAGAGUGUCUUAGAAGCCAAAAUUUGGCCCACAGUUGAAAGGAAAAUGCACAAUUAUUGAAGUGGAUGAAGACUUUUAACCUCAUUUGUGGAAGUUAGGUCGUUUUUCUAAGGGAAACUUGUGUUUCCAUGUAGCUAUUUGAAAGUAAUAUUAUAUUCAAACCCCACUCAAUUGGAAUAUGAAAUUUGACUGUCAAAGGGACAACUAUGUUUUGGAUCCACUUGAACUUAAAAAUUAAGUUUUAAUCCAUAUAAGUUCAUCAUUUAAGCCAAAGACCCAGAAAAAAUGUGAAAAUUGAAAAAAAAGAUAUGGUUUUUUUAUCUUCCUAGAAAUGACCUUUACUCACUAUGAAAAAAAAAAGAGUAAAAAAGUAUUAAUUUAAAUUUUAUUCAUUUUGUAAACCUUAAUAAAUUUUAAUGUAAUUUAGUGAUUUGGAAAAAAUACACCAUUUUCCAAAAAAAUAAAAAUAAAUUAUUAUUAUUAUUUAAAAAUCAAACAUCUUAGAAAAUAUAUAUUUUUAAAAUUGUGUAUAUAAAAUAUAACUAAAAAUAUGUCAAUUUUUUUUUUAAAUGACAUUUUUAGAAUAUAUUUUUUAAAAAAUUAGUUUUCUAAAAAUAAUAAUUUUUCAGAAUAAUUAUUUAAAAAAUAUUUAACAUAAAAAAGUUUGUCAAGCAUUAUGGUAGAAAAUAGUUUUGAAGGAUAUAUUCGUCUCUUCAUAUUUUAUAUCUUUUCCAUCAAUUAUGCAAUUUAUAUGGACAAAAACUUAAUUUUUGGGCCUAACUCGUCCAAAACACAAUUGUCCUUUUUUUUUUUUCUUAUAUUUUCCAAAUACUUCAAAUGCACUCCAUUCCCUAUUUUCAAGUUUGUAUCUUUGUGAAACUCAUGUAAUCCUGUCCCAUGCGAACCUUCCCAUAACUACAAAGGAAGGUGGCAACAUAUCAUUGGGAGAGUGUCUUAGGAGCCAAAAUUUGGCCCACGGUUGAAAGGAAAAUGCACAAUUAUUGAAGUGGACAAAGACUUUUAACCUCAUUUGUGGAAGUUAGGCCAUUUUUCCAAGGGAAACUUGUUAUAUUCAAAUCCCAAUCAGUUGGAAUAUGAGAUUUGACUGUCAAAGAAAUAAUUGUUUGGAUCCACUUGGAUUCAAAAAUUAAGUUUUGGUCCAUAUAAGUUCAUCAUUUAAGCUCAAGACCUAGAGAAAUUGUGAAAAUUAAGAAGAAUAAUAUAAAUUUUUUAUUUUUUCAGAAAUGACCUUUAUUCACUAUGAAAAAAAAAGUAUUAAUUUAAAUUUUAUUCCUUUUGUAAACCUCAAUAAAAUUUAAUGUAAUUUAGUGAUUUGGAAAAAAAUACACCAUUUUCCAAAAAAUAAAAAUAAAUUAUUAUUAUUAUUAUUUAAAAAUCAAAUAUCUUGGAAAAUAUAUAUUUUUAAAAUUGUGUAUAUAAAAAAUAACUAAAAAUAUGUCUUUUUUUUUUAAAUGAUAUAUUUUUAGAAUAUAUUUUUAAAAAAAUUAGUUUUCUAAAAAUAAUAAAUUUUCAGAAUAAUCAUUUAAAAAAUAUUUAAUAUAAAAAAGUUUGUCAAACAUUAUGGUAGAAAAUAGUUUUGAAGGGAAUAUUCAUCUCUUUCAUAUUUUAUAUCAUUUUCAUCAAUUAUGCAAUUUAUAUGGACCAAAACUUAAUUUUUAGGAUCAGUUAGGUCCAAAACACAAUUGUCCCUUUUUUUUAUAUAUAUAUUUUCUUUCAUAUUUUCCAAAUACUUCAAAUAGCACUCCAUUCCCUAUUUUCAAGUUUGUAUAUUUGUGAAACUCAUGUAAUCCUGUCCCAUAAGAAUCUUCCCAUAACUACAAAGGAAUGUGGCAACAUAUCAUUGGGUGAGUGUCUUAGGAGCCAAAAUUUGGCCCACGGUUGAAAGGAAAAUGCACAAUUAUUGAAGUGGACAAAGACUUUUAACCUCAUUUGUGGAAGUUAGGCCAUUUUUCCAAGGGAAACUUGUUAUAUUCAAAUCCCAAUAAGUUGGAAUAUGAGAUUUGACUGUCAAAUGAACAACUGUAUUUUGGAUCCACUUGGAUUCAAAAAUUAAGUUUUAGUCCAUAUAAGUUCAUCAUUUAAGCCCAAGACAUAGAGAAAUUGUGAAAAUUGAGAAGAAUGAUAUAAAUUUUUUAUCUUUCCAGAAAUGACCUUUAUUCACUAUGAAAAAAAAAUAAAAAAAUAUUAAUUUAAAUUUUAUUCCUUUUGUAAACCUCAAUAAAAUCUAAUGUAAUUUAGUGAUUUGGAAAAAAAUACACCAUUUUCCAAAAAAAUAAAAAUAAAUUAUUAUUAUUAUUAUUUAAAAAUCAAACAUCUUGGAAAAUGUAUAUAUUUUUAAAAUUGUGUAUAUAAAAAAUAACUAAAAAUAUGUCAAUUUUUUUAUGAUAUAUUUUUAGAAUAUAUUUUUAAAAAAAUUAGUUUUCUAAAAAUAAUAAAUUUUCAGAAUAAUUAUUUAAAAAAUAUUUAACAUAAAAAAGUUUGUCAAACAUUAUGGUAGAAAAUAGGUUUGAAGGGAAUAUUCGUUUCUUCAUAUUUUAUAUCAUUCCCAUCAAUUAUGCAAUUUAUAUGGAUCAAAACUUAAUUUUUGGGCCCAGUUGGAUCCAAAACACAAUUGUCCCUUUUUUUUUUCUUUCAUAUUUUCCAAAUACUUCAAAUAGCACUCCAUUCCCUAUUUUCAAGUUUUUAUAUUUGUGAAACUCAUGUAAUCCUGUCCCAUGAGAAUCUUCCCAUAACUACAAAGGAAUGUGGCAUCAUAUCAUUGGGAGAGUGUCUUAGGAGCCAAAAUUUGGCCCACGGUUGAAAGGAAAAUGCACAAUUAUUGAAGUGGACAAAGACUUUUAACCUCAUUUGUGGAAGUUAGGUCGUUUUUCCAAGGGAAACUUGUGUUUCCAAGUAGUUAUUUGAAAGUAAUAUUAUAUUCAAACCCCAAUAAGUUGAAAUAUGAGAUUUGACUGUCAAAGGGAAAAAUAUUAUUAUUUUUGUGCACUUUGAGCCAACUCCAUCUUCUGUGUCCAAAUUGCCCUUCCGUUUCUCUAGCUCAAAAUCAUCCCAACCUCCAUGAAAAGCUUCACCAUAUCUACCAUUCCCUAUUUGAUCCUCUACUUGGUUUUGUUUGCUCAUUUCAAAUGCAAGAAGACACACACGUGCUUCCAAAUUAUGAGGAUUUUUUUUUCUUUUUUUUUUUGGCUUUAAUAUUAUUUGGAAUAUCAUUCAUACUUUUAUUAGAAAAAUGGGUUACUCAUGAUCUUUAACAAAAUAAAGUUGACCAAUUAGAUUUCAAGAAAAGUACAAAAAUAAAUGAAAGUGUUUCUGAUUGUCCAAUAGGAUGAGUUUGGGAUAGAUCAUUCAUAUCUUAAUUUCAUCUCAUUUAUUUAUAUCUAUAUCAUAUUUGUCAAAAGAAUGAAAAUUUAAACAACAUAGGACAGUUCUUAUACUUGCUUGACGUUCCCAUUUUAUUUAUUUAUUUUAAAAUUUUUUAUUUUAAUUUAAAUCAUAUUAAAUGUAAAUAUAAUGUAUAAAUAAAUAAAUAAAUAUUAUAAAUUUAUAAUUUAUUUUUAUGAAAAGUAAAUUUCUAAUUUUAUAUAUGUAAAAAAAUCAAUUAAAAUAAAUUUUUAUUUAAUAUUAUAUAUAAUUGAGGUGAAGUCGACAAAAUUAUACUAAAACCCAACCCACUAAAAUUAAGAAAAAAAUACUAAAUUUUAAAUCUUUAACUUCUAAAAAAAAAAAACACCUGACCCAACCACCCAAUCUAAAUGUUUUUUUUCUCUUAUUUGGAAGUUUUCUCUCAUCUUCCUUCAUUCCCAACAACCCAAAAUUUCUCUCAUUUCAAUUCAAAAACCUAAAUCUAAAACUCCAAGGCGGUGUCAAAAUGCAUUUUUUGGUGUGCCUCUGGCUAAGACGCCUCAACUAGGCAUUUGCCCUUAGCCCUAAUCAUAGUUAACUCUCGUCUAGGAGCCAUGAAAGUCCAAGAGAAUCCGAGAAAAACGAAAUGGAGCUCGACUGGAAAGAGUAGGUACCCAAAAAUUGAAACCCUAACCUCCAAAUGCAUUCUAAACUCGCAAAUCCAUGUCCAAGAUAGCUUUAUCAGUAACAAAUAGCAUCAAACAUCUCUCUUAGACCACUGAAUCGACGAAGCCCUUGAAGAACUAAAGGAAAUGAUGCAAAAAAUGAAGUGUGGGAGACUCUUAAAGCAUUGGGUCCCAACAAACCCAUCGACCGAACCUCGAUCGGAUCUCGACCGGUACUCAAUCAAACCUCGAUCGAUCACCUUUGGUAUUUUGGUGACUGUACCUUAGGUACUACCUUAACUAAUCUUCGGUACUACUUUAGUUAAACUUGGGUACUACUUGUGUGAAGCCUCAAAACUUCAUUUGUGGAUAUUACUUACUUCAUUUGUGACCUUUAGAAUAUGUCAUUUUGUAAUUAAUUAGUGUGGUCAAUUGGUUCACAUUUGGUAUUUUGGUGAUCGUACCUUAGGUACUACCUUAACCAACCUUAGAUACUACCUUAGUUAAGCUCAUUCAACUGUCUAGGAGUGAGUUGGUGUCCUUUUCAAUUUUAUACAUAAAACUGGUCAACUAGUUACUCUUUAUCGGUCGAGGUUCGAUCGAGAAUGAAGUAAAUAAUAUCCACAAAUGAAAUUUUGAGGCUUCAGAUAGGUAGUAUCCAAGUUUUAGUAAGGUAGUACUUAAGGUUGGUUAAGAUAGUACCUAAGGUAGAUUAAGAUAGUACCUAAGGUAUAGUCACCAAAAUACCUAAGGUAUAUUCACCAAAAUACCAAAGGUGAACCAAUUGACCACACUAAUUAAUCUUAUAAUGGCAUGUUCUAAGGGUUACAAAUAAAGUAAGUAAUAUCCAUAAAUGAAGUUUCGAGCCUUCACAUAGGUAGUACACAAGUUUAACUAAGUUAGUACCUAAGGUCAAUUAAGGUAGUACCUAAAGUAGAUUAAGAUAGUACCUAAGGACUAUUAAGGUAGUACCUAAGGUACAGUCACCAAAAUACCAAAGGUGAACCAACUGACCACACUAAUUAAUCACAAAAUGGCACGCUCUAAAUGUCACAAAUAAAGUAAGUAAUAUCCAUAAAUGCAAUUCUGAGGCUUCACACAAGUAGUACCCAAGUUUAACUAAGGAGUACCUAAAGUUAGUUAAUGUAGUACCUAAAGUAGAUUAAAGUCGUACCUAAGGACUAUUAAGGUAAUACCUAAGUUACAAUCACCAAAAUGCCAAAGGUGACCAAUUGAGUCAAGGACCGGUCGAGUUGGGACCCAAUACUUUAAGAGUCUCUCGUGCUUCAUUUUUUGCAUUGUUUCCUCUGGUUCUUCAAGGGUUUCGUUGAUUCAUUGGUCUAGAAGAGAUGUUUGGUGUUAUUUGUUGUUGAUAAAGCUAUCUUGGACAUAGAUUUGCAAGUCUAAGACGCAUUUGGAGGUUAGGGUUUCAGUUUUUGGGUACCUACUCUCUCCACCCAAGCUCCAUUUCGUUUUUCCCGGAUUCUCUUGGACUCCCAUGGCUUCUAGAUGAGAGUCAACUGUGACUAGGGCUCAGGGCAAACGCCCAAUUGGGGCAUCUCAGUCAGAGACAUGCUGAAAUGAGCAUUUUGACACCACCUUGGAGUUUUAGAUUUGGGUUUUUGAACUUAAAUGAGAGAAAUUUUGAGUUUUCGGGAAUGAAGAAAGAUGAUAGAAAGCUUCCAAAUGAGAACAGAAAACAUUCAGAUUAGGUGGUCAGGUCAGGUGUUUUUUUUUUUUUUUUUAGAAGUUAAAAAUUCAGAAUUCAGUAUUUUUUUUUUCUUAAUUUGAGUGAUCCUGCUAACAUGGAGGUUAGAAUGAUGUUGAGGAUCCUGAACUGGAGAAAUAGAAGGGCAAUUUGGGCAUAGAAGAUGGAGUCGGCUUAGAAUGCACAAAAACGAUAAUACUUUCCUCUUUGAUAGUCAAAUCUCAUAUUCCAACUAAUUGGGGUUUGAAUAUAAUAUUAUUUUCAAAUAGCUAGCUGGAAACACAAGCUUCCCUUUUUCCAAAAUGAGGCUGCAACUUGGAACUCGGGGCAUUCAUAUUCCAUCAUCAUCACUAUUAAUAUUAUUCCAGCUAGCUUUCAUCUUUGCAUGAGAAUUUCUACCCUUGCCCGCACAAGUCAAGAACGACUUUGUCUUUUCCAUAAAUAUUAAUAUUAUUCCAAGUGCCCCAUAAAAAGGGAAAAGGAGUGUAUAAAGAAAAAAUUGAAUUCAAACCUGAUACAUUCAAUUUAAAAUAAUUAAUAUUUUACAUAGUUUUACAUAAACUAUAUAUAUAUAAUUUUAUAUAAAAAAAUAUUAUCAAAAUAUUAUCUUUUAAUGAUAUAAACCUAUGUUUAAUAUAAGAUUAUAUAAAUUUUAAAUUAUUUUUAAAUAUAUAUAUAUAUAUAUAUAUAUUUUCUCCUAAAAAUUUCUAUCAAAAUACAUUUUUCUAAACAUAAGAAUCAAGAAAGGAGACAAGUUGACCAAGCAGCGACACAAGUGAUAAUGACAUAUAAAUAGGUUUGGUUGUAACUCUCUUCUCUUCUAAACGUUAAGAGUGAAGUUUUGAUAAAAUGACUUUCAAUAAAACAAUAGAUUUAUUUUAGGUAUAUUUUGAAAUUUUUGUUAGAAAUGACUUUUUUUCUCAUAUUUAUUUUUAAAUUUUAUUUAUAAAAAAAAAAUUGUUUAAAACCAUUGUAAAGUGCAGAUUCGGCAUAAUUUAGAAACCACACUUUCAAAAUAUGGUUUCUAAAUAAGAAUAAAAAAUGUAAAAACUAGAGGAUUAGUUUAAAUAAUAAUUUGAAAACAUGUUUGAAACAUGUAUUUUGUUUUAUUGAAUUAGCCAAUUUGGCACAAAAAUGGAUAAAGUGAGGAAAUUGUUUAGGUUUUAAGUGUCUUUAUUAAGUUAAAGUGUUAAAUUCAACCAUCUCUUAAUACUUGGAUAAAAUACAUUUAAUUAAAAUUAGUUAAAUUUUUUAUUAAAUAUUGAUUUUAGUUGGAGUAAAUGUUUGAAAAACCGAGAUUUUUUAUUGAAAAAUUGGUUAUCGAUAAUGGCCAAAAUCCACCAUCAUAUAAUCCGUCGGGAAAAAAAAUCAUAGAAAGUCGGUAAUUUCACAGAAAAAUCAACGAAAUCUCGAUGAUAAGUUGGGACGUGUGGCAACUUUGGGUGAUCGGUGGUAAAAAAAAAUUGUCGAUUUUUGGUGAAAUAUAACCCCCUGGUUUUAUUGAUGGCAGUUUCUUUUUUUCUUUUUUUUCUUUUUCUUUUUUAUAAUUUAUCCUAUUUUUUAAAUUUAUAAUUAUUCAUUUUUAAUUUAUCAUUUUAUUUUAUAUCAUCAUUUCAUUUUUAACUACUUUUCAUAUUUAUCUCAUUAAUUCUAUUUAAAAAAAAUUACUAUCACUUCACUCUUAAUUAUAUAUAUCCUUUUAAUUUUAAAUGUUUUUGUUUUAAAAUAUUAAAAAUAUAAUUUUACUUAAAAAUUGCUAUAAUAUAAAAAAAAUUAAUGAAGUUCUAAUAUUUUAUAAAUUAAAAUUAAUUUGAUAAGAUAAAUUAUUAAUAAUUUUAAUUAUUAAAAUAAAUUAAUGUUAAUAGAAAAGUUGUUUUGUAAUAAAAUUUUAGAAAUUAAAUCUCAAACCAAAUAUGUUAUAUAAAUCAAUUAAAUUUUUUAUUUAAAAUGAAAUAAAACAUGGUUUAAUAAAAAUAUUUUUAAAAUAUUAAAAUAAAUUAAUAUAAAUAUAUUAAAGGAAUUUAAGCUAUUUUUUUUUUAUAAAAUUUGAUAAAUAUUAUCUUUAAUCAUGCUCAGCAAUUACAAAAUAACUUUAAUAUGUAUAUUCUUCUUUAUUUCAUUUUUUUUCAAAGUUUUUUAUAUAAGUUUUGAACUAUUUGCGUUCGAUUUGAUAUUUUUGUACCGAUAUAUCCAUAUUUAACGUUAUUUCAAACAUUUGAGUUGAAGGGAAAUGUGAAUGAGAUUAAGAAAGAAAGAGAAGGUUGAAUUUUAAACGAGAAAUAUUUGGUUAUAAGAGAUGAAAUAAUUCUCAAAUCGAAAAUCUAAUCAUUCCCAUAUUUUUUGUGAAAAAAAACUCAUUUUUUUUUUAUAGAAAUGUCAUUUUCUAUUUCAAAUAUUUCUAUACAGAUUUCAAAAGAAAUUAUUAUUUUUGUAAGAAAAUAAUGAAGAUAGUUUUGUCCAAAUGAUACAAAAAAAAAAAAAAAAAGUGGGGGUUAAAUUUCAAAAUUUGGAUUUUGAGGGCAUUUUAAUCAAAUAACCCUAAAAAAUUAAAGAUAUGUUGCCGGGGAUUAAGGAGACUUCGUUUGGUCCUAGCCCCUUGUAAAAUUAAAGAUAUUUUUGUAUGAUGUCUUGUCCAUCAUAAAAAAAUUACUCAGAGAUGGUGUCGUUUGGUAAAGAGACCGAGCUCGUGGAUGGAAGCUCUGGCCCACAUCCGAAGAUUUGAUAACGACGUAUAAAGUAUAAACUACCCUAGGCCUCCGCUUAUAACUUCAUUUGUGCGUUCCUUCCCAGAAUUUGAUUCAAGAUUAGCCCUACAGCCUUUUCAGCUGAUCCAAUUUCAUAGAUUACAUGGAUGCGCCAGUUCUUUUGCUUCUUCUCGCUCUGCUUCUAUCUUCUCCACUUCCAUCGUCUACCCUCGACAGUUUGAGUCAAGGCUCAUCCCUAUCAGUUGGGAAGCCUGAACAAGUUUUAAUUUCACAAAGUGGAAUCUUUUCAGCCGGCUUCUACCCCGUCGGUGACAAUGCUUAUUGUCUUGCCAUAUGGUUCACCAAACCAUCCUACGACGGCAAACAUACGGUUGUUUGGAUGGCAAACCGAAACCAACCAGUUAAUGGGAAUUUCUCAAAGCUUUCCCUGCUAAAAAAUGGUGAACUUAUCUUAACAGAUGCCGGGCGGUUCAUAGUUUGGACCACAAAGGCGGUUGGGGUUUCUCCGGUGCGAUUACAUCUCUUCAACACUGGUAACCUUGUGUUGCGUACCUCGGAUGGUGUUAUUCAAUGGCAAAGUUUCGAUUCACCAACAGAUACCCUUCUCCCUCACCAGCCACUCACCAGAAAUACGAGACUUGUCUCUUCAAGAACCAAAACCAACUUUUUCUCAGGGUUUUAUAAGCUCUAUUUUGACAACAGUAACGUCCUCAGUCUUGUGUUCGAUGGGCCAAACGUUUCAAGCGUUUACUGGCCCCCAUCGUGGCUUGUAAGCUGGCAGGCGGGCAGAUCGGCAUACAAUAGCAGCAGAAUUGCAUUACUAGAUUACUUUGGCUAUUUUUCUUCAUCCGACGGUUUUAAGCUUCAGUCCUCGGAUUUUGGUGAGAGAGUCCGGCGAAGAUUGACCCUGGAUAUUGAUGGCAACUUACGAUUAUACAGUUUUGAGGAAGAGAGAAAUAAGUGGGUUGUUACUGGGGAAGCCAUCACGGAACAAUGCAAAGUUCAUGGAAUAUGCGGACCCAACAGUGUUUGUACCUAUGUGCCCGGUUCUGGGAGUGGAAGGAGAUGCUCUUGCAUACCUGGAUAUGAGGUGAAAAAUCGCACUGACCGAACUUAUGGAUGCAUACAAAAAUUCAAUCUUUCUUGCAACUCACAGAAGGUUGGUUUCCUCCUACUCCCACACGUGGAGUUCUACGGCUAUGAUUAUGACUGUUACCCCAAUUACACCUUACAGAUGUGUAAAAAACUGUGCUUGGAAAAAUGCGGUUGCAUAGGAUUUCAAUACAAGUACGAUCAUAUAUGUUAUCCUAAGCGGAUGUUACUCAACGGAUACCGCUCACCUAGUUUUGAAGGACAUAUAUAUCUAAAAUUGCCCAAAGCUAGUCUCCUUUCCUAUGACAAACCCGUUGAGGAAUUCAUGUUAGAUUGCUCGGAAAACCGCACAGAGCAGCUAGUAAGAACCUAUUCAAAAGCCCAUGAAAAUGGAGUGUUAAAGUCCAUCCUCUGGUUUGUCUGUGCAAUUGGAGGAGUUGAGAUGAUUUGCAUCUGUGUGGUGUGUUGUUUCUUGAUGAUGAAGGCCCAGCAAAACACCAAUACAGAUCCGCCAGGCUACAUUUUAGCCGCCACGGGAUUCAGAAAAUUCACCUAUACUGAGCUGAAGAAAGCAACACGGGGUUUCAGUGAGGAGAUUGGAAGAGGAGGAGGUGGGAUUGUAUAUAAAGGUGUCUUGUCAGACCACCGAGUAGCAGCCAUCAAGCAGCUCAAUGGAGCUAACCAAGGAGAAGCUGAAUUUUUGGCAGAAGCAAGCACCAUUGGGAGGCUUAACCACAUGAACUUGAUAGAGAUGUGGGGUUAUUGCUUUGAGGGGAAGCACAGGCUCUUGGUUUAUGAAUACAUGGAGCAUGGAUCACUAGCACAAAACCUCACUUCCAAUACACUUGAUUGGCAGAAGAGGUUCAAUAUUGCGGUGGGCACAGCAAAAGGUCUGGCUUAUUUACACGAAGAGUGCUUGGAGUGGGUUCUACACUGCGAUGUGAAGCCUCAAAACAUACUCCUAGACUCUAAUUAUCAGCCAAAGGUGGCAGACUUCGGCCUGUCAAAGUUACAGAACAGAGGAGGAAUCAACAAUUCAAGAUUGUCGAGGAUCAGAGGAACGAGAGGUUACAUGGCUCCAGAGUGGGUUUUGAACCUCCCCAUCACGUCCAAAGUAGACGUUUAUAGCUAUGGUAUUGUGGUUCUGGAGAUGAUUACCGGUCUAAGAAGUGUUGCAAAUGCCAUCCACGGUACAGAUGGCAUAGGGGAACGUCAGAGUUUGGUGGCAUGGGUGAAAGGGAAGAUGAAUAGUGCAACUGCAGUUGCUUCGUGGAUUGAAGAAAUCCUAGACCCGUCGAUGGAAAGCAAAUAUGACAUGGGUGAGAUGGAAAUUCUAGUAUCAGUGGCUCUGCAAUGUGUGGAAUUGGAUAAAGAUGAAAGACCCACCAUGAGUCAGGUGGUCGAGCUGCUUCUCCGCCGUGGAUGUUGAUACAAUUAUCACUACUGAUAAAUUAAUACCUCCUAUGGGGCCAGCCAAGUAUGGCAGCUUUCUGAACCUAUUCCGCCCAUUUAUGAUAUUCGUAAAAAAAACAUUGUUAUUUUUGCUACCCUCCUCAAUAAAGAUUCUACUAAUAAAUAUUAUAUAGAAUUUUAUUCCCAAUAUCUCUCUUUGGUGCUCUUAUCUUAUUUUAUAAAAUCAUUUUUAAAAUUUGUUGAAUUUGAUAUAUUUUACCCUCACAUAAUUUGUAGCAGGAAAAGUUUCUCUCUUCAUCAUACAACAAAUUCUUUUCUAUGUAGUAUACAUAUAUGAAAGCUAUAAAUGGCUUUAGCUUUAAUUGAAAUCAUAUAAUUUCUCAUUGAAUCUAAUCUAACGUGACUUUAAAAAUUUUCAAAAUAUAAAUCAAUUCCUCCUGCUUAAACAUAACACUAUAAUUGCAUCUGUGCCUUGGUGCUUUCUGUGUUAGUGAAUGAAUUAGUUUAAAUAUUGACUUUUUAGACAACAAUUUUAAAGAGCUCAUGCGUCACACUAUCAAUUCAACCUUCUUUGAUAUUUAUUUAUUUAUUUAUUUUAAUUACCUUUCGAUGGUAUCAUUGCUUGGAAAAUUUUGAUGAACGUGAAAGGGAAAUGGAAAAUCGUGGGGCACACGUCCAUUAUGGAGUCAAAAUCUUUGAAAGAUGUAAAAUUGUCGUGCAAUUCAAUCUAAUGUAGAUGGACAAAAAUGCCAUUUUAUUGAUCAAGCAUAGAUGAAUGUGGAAAUGACGCAACGCAUCAAAUCAGACUUGGCGGAUGACAUGUAAAAUGCAAAAUUAAAUAAUGAUUGAAAAUCAAAUGAAUGAGCCACCCAGCAAAUGUCUAGUUUCAAGUCUUUCAUUUUUUUUUUCAACUUAAGACCUCUUUUUGGAAAUUUAUUAUUAAAAAUAUUUUAAUCUCUAAUUUUUCAUAAGUUUCUUUUCAUAAACAUGUUGACUGGCUUCAGGGAAAUAAACAAAAAUAUAUUUUUAAAUUAUUUAAUCUAACUUUAAAAAGAUAAGUAAAAUUUUAUUAAAAUAAUUUAUUAAUUUUAAAUUUAUAUUUUAUUUUCAUUCAUUUGACAUACCUUCAAUAAUUAGUAUAAAAUUAAUAUAAAUGUUUUAUAUAAUCCGUUUACAUGCAUGGUAUAUUAUGUACAAACAGGAACAAAAUGAAUGAGGCACUGUAUGUGACAAAUAAAUACAUUUUUAUAAAAUUUAAAUUUAAUUUUAUAGUAUAUGACAUGGAUUCUGGCGUCAUCUUCCACAUCACUGAACUUCAUCUUCACCUAUUUUCAUCAUUCUAUGUUUCCAACGCUUCCCACUAUGAACGUCUCUAGAAAAAACUGCCCGAUGUGGCUCUCCUCUUGGCUCUACCACAGUUAAGAUUUUCGGCUUGAUGUCGUGUACCUGCAAUUUACACGAUGUGUUCUCAUUCGAUGGCGAAUUCACUUUAAAUUUAUUCGAUAAAAAUAUGGUUUUUAGAUUAAACUGUUUAUUUUUUAUUUUUUUUAAGGGAAAACAAGAUAAGAAAUAAAAUCUUAAGUGUGACUCUUUAUUUGGGAAAGACGGUCUGUGGAAAACUAAAAUCAAGUUUGAGGGUCAGGUUAUUUAUUGGAAAGGUAUGAUAAAAGACUGUAACACUCCUCUAAAUCCCUAAAAACGGGUCUCUAUUAAAUAAGGUGAAACAAGUGUUACAAUUGAUAAGGAAAUUAAUAGAUACCAAUAAAAUGAUCAAAUAAUAAAACGAAUCAUAAAUAAGAAUAAGCAAAGUGAGAGUGAGAUCAUACCUUAGCAGCAAGUAAUAAUGCGUUAUCAUGAAAACAAUAUUAGUUCAAGUAUAAAAUUAUCACAUGCAUAUUAAAGAGUAAAACAAAGAUCAAGUAAUAUUCAUUAAACAUAACAAUUAACAAUCAAAAGAGAAAACUCAUAUAUAGGGCCCUACCAAAGUCCAAUUGAUUUUGCAUGAAUAAAUCCAACAAAUUUCAUUAUUUUAGAAUUAUAAAAAUCAUAUUCAUACUUAUUUAAAAUCAAGAAAAUCGAAAAAUUAUUUAAAGAUCAAAAAAAAUUUGUGAAAGUACUUACCUGAAGGGAAAUGUAACAAGUUUAUUAAAAACGAGAUUUUUGGAAAUUAUUUGAAAAUUGAAAUCUUAAAAAUUAAAUUUAAAAAUUGAAAUUUAAAAAAAAAAAAUUGAAAAUUGGAGUUUUGAAAAUUGGAAUUUUGAAAAAUUAUUUGAAAAUGAGAGUUUUGAAAAUUGGAAAUUUGGAAGAGUAUUUGAAAAUGGGAAUUUUGGAAAGUGAUUUGAAAAUGGGAAUUUUGAAAAAUGAUUUGAAAAUGGAAGUUUUGAAAAUUGGAAUUUUGAAGAACUAUUUGACAAUGAAAUUUUUAAAAAUUAUUCGAGAAUGGAAGUUUUGAGAAUUGAAGUUUUGAAAAUUAGAAUUUUGAAAAUUAUUUAAGAAUUAGAGUUUUGAAAAUUAUUUGAAAUUUGAAAAUUUGAAAAUUAAAUUUAGAAAUUGAAGUUUUGAAAAUUAAAUUUGAAAAUUGAAGUUUUGAAUAUUGGAAUUUUGAAAAUUAAAUUUAGAAAUUAGAGUUUUGAAAAUUGGAGUUUUGAAAUUUAUUUUAAAAUUAUUUGAGAAUUGAAGUUUUGAAAAUUAUUUGAAAAUUAAAUUUGAAAAUUGGAAUUUUGGAAAAUUAUUUGAUGAUUGAAGUUUUAAAAAUUAAAUCUGGAAAUUGAAAUUUUGGAAAAUUAUUCGAGAAUAAAAGUUUUGAGAAUGAGAUUUCUUAAAAAUUAAAUUUGAAAAUUAGAAUUUUAAAAAAUUAUUUGAGAAUUGAAUUUUUAAAAAUUAAAAUAAAUUUUGAAGGUCGGAACAAAUCAUCUCAUUGACCUUAUCCCCGUUCUUGUAAAUCUUGAAGGUUGGAACACUUUUUAUGCUCUCAGUUUUUGCUACUGUUGGGCUCUCCUCCACAUCCAUCUUGAGAAAUUUUAUGGAUUGGUAUUGAACACAGAGCUUAUCCAUGAUGGGGGAGACCUGUUCACACUGGUAAUUGGAUGCCACUUUGAAGUGAACCACCGAAACACCAGGUGAAGAUAUUGCAGUUUUAAACUGGUCGACACCAGAAACCUCCUCCACUUCACCACCAAACUUCACACUAUGAGUUUCAUCCUCCCAUGAUUUUGACAAUGCAGCUUGUGCCUGUGAUAGAGAUUCAACAACCUCGACGUCUCCAGGAAGUUCCCUUCUCAAGACCUCAUAAUCUUUUACUACAUCUGCCCAUCGUCCAAGCUUCCCAUUUGAGACAGCUCUAUGAAGAAGAGCCUUGGUGUAAUUUGGUUGGAUCUUGAGGGCAUGGUUGCAUUCCUCAAUAGAUUUUUCCCAUAAACCAAGUUUAGACCAGCAAACUACUCUAUUGCAAUAUAGAACAGAGUUCGAUGUAUCAUACUUGAGGCCUUCCCCGUAAGCUAAGCAGGCUUCUGAAAAUCUUCCAGAACUAAAGAGUUCAUUGCCAUGGGCCUGCGCUCUUGCCACCAGUUUAACAUUGUUCAGCAAUUUUGCAACUUCAACAUUACUAUAAUCAAUCAACCCCGUCUUCUCUGCUGCCGCAACUUCCCAGUGCCAUCUCAACCUGAGCUCGAACAUAGAGAACAUAGGCUUCAGCAAUCACAUCGAAGAACUUGGUUGAGCGAGAAGGAGAAUAAUGUUCAAAUUUUGGAAUGCUUGAUAGGUAGGAAUCUGCAUCUUCAAUUUGGUGGAGCUUCAACAGGGCCUCUACUCUCCAUGAAAUGAGUUGAGGAUAAGAAUCUGCCCCGCCUGCAUUGGCUCAUCACAUUCCCUUAGUGUACUUUUCCAAUCACCAAUUUUCCAUGCAUCAGCACAUCGGUUCAAAUACUUCUCCAAAGAAAGCAACUUCUGAAGCUCAGAUGGAUCUGGCGGCUGCGCGCCCAGGUAAAAAGAGAUGGCGUCGGGCAAAAUCAACAUGCCCUAACCUGAAAGUGCUCCUCCAAUCUUCCAAAGACCGGUAAACUUCCUUCAUCCUUGCUACCCAUGACUCGCCUCCUGCAACUUCUCUAUCUAAUGCUCAGAUCAUUAUCAUUUGAAGCUCUCUCGUUCCAGUCAUCUCUCUUGCUCUGUUUUUCUGUUUUUCUCCCAAUCCCAAAAAGUCUCUUUCGUUCCUCCUCCUGGUACUCUGUUUCUUUUCGCUUUAAAUCAUCCCCUGUCUCAGUCCAGCUUUUCUUCUCCUAUCAGCUUCCCACCCGUUCCAUUGCUCCUGGUUCAGCAAAGAUGUCACCACCCUCAACCACCACCAUGGCAAGUUGGUAGUCCUUGCCACACGUCCCAGCAUGCAGCUCACCUGGAAAGCCAUCCCCCACUCUAAAUGAAAUGUUCAGCUCUUCUCGGGUGGCCAGCAGGUGGUGAGAAAAAAAAACUUUGGUCCAGAGAGGGGUCUACAGAUGCCUUCGAUCUAUUUCAGGUGGUCGGCUUUGGAGCAUGGAUGGCUGCAGAUCUGCCAAGUUGUUGGCCAUGAAUCUCCUGAAUCCACUUAUUGCUAACCGCUUGUAUUAUUCAACAGUUGAAGGCUGAUUUCAUUGAGUUGAAAGGCCAAUGGGCCAUGGGGAGCAAUGCUUGCUUCACCCAAUUUUUAAAAAUUCAUUUUUAGUAAUACAAAAAAAUUUAUUGUAUGAAGUAUUGAUGUUAUUAUUAUCUUUUUAUAUUGAUUUUAUUUUUUAUAUUUUUUUUCCUUAGGAUUUUCUUUCUUUUCACUUUUUCUCCCUCUUUUCUUUUAUUUAUAUUUUCUCAUAAUCAAAUAUCGACUUAGAAUUUAAUUGCAAACAAAGUGUUAUGUAAACAAUUAAUAUGGUCUUGCUAUUUUGCUUUUAUGGCCAUUAAAUUUAAGGACUUUGUGUGAUGGCAAUAGGGUGAUUUUUUUAAGGUACCUGUCCACCCUGGGCUUAAAAUUUAAAUAAAUAGGUUUGGAGCAGGUUUGAGUUUUUUUAAACUCAAGACGAGUUUGGAUAUUGUCCCACCCCAAUCAUAUACAAAAUUAAUUUAAUUUUUUAUUUUUCCAUUUUUAAUAAUAAUAAUAAUAAAAUACUUUUUAAUAAAAUAAGUUAUAAAAAAUUAUAAUACUUUAAUUAUGUAUAUAAUAUAUAUAUAUUUAUAUAAUUAAAUAAUUUAAAAAAAUUAAAAAAAAAAGUUUAAACAAAGCGGGAUAAGACAAGUAUGAGAAUUUCUCAUACCUAUCAUACCCUGCCUAUCACAUUUAAUUUUUUUAAUAGAACAAGGUUACAACAUGGGCUACCUAUUCUAAACCUGUCUCAUUAUCAUCCCUACAUGUGUUUGCAUGUAUAUAUGAUACAAGUGGAAAGUUUGAACUAUGAUAUUGAAAAUUCAAUUCACCAUUUAUUUUGUAAUUAUACAUCCAAAUAUAAGCAUGGAAAGGGGCGAAUUGACAUAAUAGAAGGCCUAACUGCUCAUGUUUUGUAUUUAUUUAAAUUAAUAUUUAUUAAUCAUUUAUUUAUGUAAUAAAAAAUUUGUAAUUCAAAAUUUGAUUUUACUAAGUGAAGUACCUGAUGACCAGAACUGGAGCAACCUAAAGAAAGAGAAGAACAAAAAAUACACCACGACAUAUCCCAAAAGCCUAAUGGCCCAUCCCCUAAAAAUACUAGCUUUAUAAUUAUUAUCGUAAAAGAAAGAGAUGAACAAGUGAUUUUUCGUCAUAUAAUGUUAAAAAAUUAAAGUAUUAAUUUUUUUUUUCUACUGAAAAUAAUUUAAUUUCAUAUUUCUAAUUGUUUUUUUUUUACUUUAUGUCACUUAUUAUUUAUUUUUAAAAUAUUUUUACUAAAUUUAAAAAAUAAAAAAAAAUUAAAUAUUAAAAUUAAUCUAUUGAUUUUUCUUUACUUAAUAAAAAUAAAAUAUUUAAAAAAUAAAUAAUUUAAUAAUUAAUAUUAUUAAACACUAUUUAAUUUUAAGUUAAAUUUGGAUUUAAGUCUAAAAAAAAUACCACUUAAAUGUCUUCAUUGCAACGAUGGACAUUAUUAACUCUACUUUUUUAUAAAAUCUUUUAUUUUAGGAAAUUUUAACUUCCAAAUGAAGUAGUUACGAGAAAAAUAACUAUUGUGGUUGAAUUUAUUUGAAAUAAAUAAACCAUAAAAAAAACACUUGAAUGGAUUAAGGACCGAUUUUUUACGCCAAGGUGGUGGUGAUAUAUUGAUUUGAGUAAGAAUUUUAUAAUUUCCCAAAAGAAAGAUAAAGAGGAAAAGCAACAUUUAUUAAAAGAUAGAUACAUUAGAAUAUCAUAUUCAAAUUUAGUAUUUUUCUUUUCUCUUCUUUAUAAAACUAAAUAAUAGAAAUCAAAUGCUUUUACCAACUUCUCAUACUGCACCGUUUCGUUUUUCACUUCAUCUAAUUUUACCUUCAAUUCAUUUUUUUCCCUAUUUUAUUUCUUGAAACAUGUAUUCACUAAAACCUCUGUACCAAUGUUUCAGGACAUGGAGAGGAAGCCAUCCUGCUCCGGCCUGUCCUCCGGGCACAUAAGCUUCUCAACUAUUUGGCUCAUCGUGGGUCUUGAGUCCCUGUCUCCCUUCACACAUUCCAAGGCAACUCCAAUCAGAAUUUCCAUCUGGCGCAUGUUGCAUUCGCCUUGCAUCACAGGGUCCAGGAUGUCUUCAAUCCACGACCCCCUGACACCAAUCCUAUUCAUUCGAUCCCUCACCCAUUUAAUCAACCCAGGCUGCUCUGUCUCUCCUUGGGCAUCAGUAUCGGGGAUAGCAGAUGGGCUCUUCCCUGUCACCAUCUCCAAAACCACGAUUCCAUAGCCAUAAACGUCUACCUUGGAGGUUAUGGGAAGGUUGAAUACCCAUUCAGGAGCCAUGUAUCCUCUGGUUCCUCUGACCCUCGAGAAACUUGAAUUGCCAAGCCCUCCUCUGUUACGCAGUUUCGACAUCCCAAAAUCUGCCACUUUUGGCUGGUAAUUAGAGUCCAAGAGUAUGUUCUGAGGCUUUACGUCACAGUGCAGAACCCACUCCAAGCAUUCUUCGUGUAAAUAAGCUAGGCCUCUGGCCGUGCCAAGCGCUAUUUGGAACCUCUUCUCCCAAUCAAGAGUAUUGGACGAUAGCUUUUGUGCCAAGGAUCCAUGUUCCAUGUACUCAUACACCAACAGCCGGUGCUUCCCCUCUAUGCAAUAUCCCCACGUCUCUAUUAAGUUCAUGUGAUUAAGCCUUCCAAUGGUGCUCACUUCUGCUAGAAAUUCUGCUUCUCCUUGAUUGGCUUCUUUGAGGCACUUGAUUGCUGCCACUCGACGAUCAAGCAAUACACCUUUAUAUACCAUUCCUCCACCUCCUCUUCCAAUCUCUUGGGUGAAACCUCGCGUGGCCUUCUUCAACUCUGCAUAACUGAAUCUUUUAAACCCGUUUGCAGCGAGGAUGUAACCUUGCAUAGUUGAGACUGGAUCAUGGUGUACCCUAAAUAGGAAAAGCCAUACCAGCAAGACAAUUGCCGUCUCUAGAACUCCCAGUCCAUAGGCAAACCAUAGCAAAAACUUCAAAAACUUCAAUGUUGUAUCUAGCUGUAUAUAACGAGUGUUGCCUGAACAAUUUAUGGUGAAUUCUUCAAGGGGAUCAUAUCUGGGAAAGAGACUAGCUUUAGGCAGUUUUAGAUACAAGGUUUCAGGAUAAUUUGGCGAACUGAAUCCAUUAAGCAAGAGGGCCACUGGGUAACAAUUGUAAACGCCGUCCCCAAAAUUUAGCAGGAAGGCCUUGCAUUUGCACAACUGUAAGCAUAGAUUUUCACAGCUUUCAUAGGUGUAAUUGGGGUAGUGACCAUAGUCAUAGCCGUAGAGUUGAACAUGAGGGAGUGGGAAGAAGCCCACCUCAGUUUGGUUACAAGCGAUAUCAGUUUCUGGUGCGCACCCAUAAGACCAGUCAGUUGAAUUUACAAUCUUGAAUCCAGGCAUGCAAGAGCAUCCUCUGCCAUAAGCAGGGGUGUAACUGCAGAGACUGUUGGGUCCGCAGAUGCCAUGAAUCUGGCAUGGUUGGGAGAUAGCCUGCCAUGAAACCGACCAGGUUCCUCUCGUUUCUUCUAGACUAUACAUUCUAAGAUUGCCAUCGAAAUCGAGGGUCAAUCUUCUCUGAGGCCCCGCACCAAAAUCCGCUGACCGAAAUUCCAAAUCAUCUGAUGCUCUAUAAUAACCCAAAGAAUCGAAUACUGCGAUUCGACUGUUGUUGUAUGUGCUCCUCGCAGCCUCCCAGGUCACCCGGCUUGGGUCUGGCCAGUAGAGGCUGGAAACCACAGGACCAUUGAAGAGAAGGCGGAUGACGUUAUCAAUGUCAAAAAAUAGCUUAUAAAAACCAGAAGAAUAGUUGCUUUGGCUUCUUGAUGAGAUAAGGCUGGUAUCUUUUGUCAGUAUCUGGUGAGGAAGAAGGGUAUCUGUGGGUGAGUCAAAGCUCUGCCAAAUCACCGUCUUCUCCCAAGCAUAUAGAACAAGAUUGCCGGUGUUAAGGAGCUGUAAUCUCACAUACGAGGUUGAAACGGUGUUGGUCAUCCAAACCAUGAUUUUGCCAGCAUCAGUUAAGAGGAGAUUGCCAUUCCUCAACAAAGAAAGCUUGGAGCCUCUACCGUUGACCGGUUGGUCACGGUUCGCCAUCCAAACUGUGGUUGCACCCCAUGAUUUUGUGAACCAUAUGGCGAAGCAGAAAGUGUUGUAACUGUUGUUGCCGACCUGAUAAAACCCAGCAGAGAAUAUACCAUUUGCUGAAAUGAGAACAUCAUUUGAUUUCUCCACGGAAAGAGAUGAGCCUUCGCUCAGAGUAUCAUACGUUUCAGAUGAAGAUGGAUAGAAAGUUAAUAGCAAAGCCAAAACAAAGAAACCAACUGUCCUAUCCAUGAGUUUUGGGAUAUGGUUUAUGUGCUCUGUUUCCUGAUCAGAUAUUUGCAAUGGAGAAUGCAAGUGUAUGGUGCUACCAGAGUUUAGAAAAUAAAUGUUUACAUCAUGACUCCUUGACUGGGUGAACGGGGAAAAUUUACAUUGCCCCUCGGGCCAAGUUUUGCUUGCGCCAUCGUGUUUGGUUUCUAAAAACAUUUCAUGUCAAUGUCAAAGACUCAAAAUAAUGGGAUGAAGACCCGGGACUCUUUGACUGGCCUGGUGGCCUUCACGAGUUUUAUUUAGUGGUGACGUAAAACUGGGGUCUGGUCUGAUGUUGAUUGGCCCAAGCAGGGAAAGAUCAAAUGGGAAACGACUUGUGGGCUGACUUUCCAUGCACCAAGGAACACUUCAUAGAAAUUAAUCGAGCCAUUGAAUUUCAUAAGUUCCCUCUUUGCAGAAUUUUGAAUAUUUAAAAAGAAUCUUAAUUUUUAAAACCUAAAUUUAUGGUUAAUUUUUAAAUGCUUAAUUAAUGCGAUUCAAGGUGUAAAACAUUUUCUUUUAUUGAAUCAAGAUUUAAUUUAAAAUAAAAUUGUUGGUAUUGCUCCCUCUUUUUUCUCUUUUUCUUAUUCAAUCUCUAUUUAUAGUUUCACAAUAGUAGUUUUCUUGCCACCUUUGUGGGUCAAGAGGAACAAAUGCUAAGAAUUGUAUUCAUCUGCUUUCUUGCAACACUCACUAAAUGUAAUAUUGUAAUAAGAUAUGGAACCUGAUUUUGAUUAUGUUGGUAUAAUUAUUGAUACAGUUGAUGUCUCAAAGUCAUUUUGGCAAGGACUUUCAGGGUAUGGUCGAAUCAAGCUUGUAUAACUAUUAAUUAUUAAUAUGGUUAAAAGAUUUCUUCGACAUUUUGGUGCUCAUAUAAUUAAUAUUAUUACAGCUGAGUCCUCCAAAAUCCCAUUUUUCUAAUUUUGACUUUUCAAGGUAUGAUAAGCAAAAUUUAAAAGGUUGUGACUCUUUAACAUUCCCUUUUGCCACAUGGUGCUUUAAGGUUGCUUUCUAUCAUUUCUCCAAUGGCUACUCAUGGGGAGCGGACAUUAAAACCUGUGAAUCGAUGACAACAAUUUUUCUUCUUUAGAGUCUCUUGUUUUUCCCUUUGCAAUAGUAUUUUUCUACUUAAGAGGCAACAUCGCUAAUUGGAGUAUAGUUAUUUACUCUAUGCCUUAUUAGGAUCUUGAUUUUAGGAUUUUUCGAACCUUGAUUUUAGAAUCCUUGAUUUUAGGAAUCUUUUUUUUUUCUCUUCACCGUUUUUCUCUUAUUUUGCAUCUUUCUUUUUUUGAAUGGUAACUUCUUGUAUAUAUAUGCAUGUAGAACAACAGAAUAAAUAUGCAAAAAUUUUGUCAUUCCAAGUCUAAAGUUUUCAUGGUAUCAAAACGCACUUGUUCUUACAUUUUUCUUGUUGACCAUCUCUGUCACUCUUACAUUUUUCUUCUUGUUCUUUGUUUGCUUUUCACCAUACAAAUGGUUCUACUAAUCACCAGAAAAUAGAUGAAAUUGUAGAUAAAAAUAAUUUAUCUCAUCUUCAUUGUUCUGACAACCCAAGAUCCAUGAUUGUACCCUAAUCUUUGACUGGUGAAAACUACUCAACCUAGAGCAAAGCUAUGCUUAUGGCCUUAAGUGCAAAGAACAAAGUAAGCUUCAUCAAUAGAUCGAUGAUGAAACCUUCUUUAAUGAAUUCAACCUAUGGUCUAUGGAAUUGCUAUAACAACAUGGUAAAAUCUUAGAUCCUUAACUUUUUACCUUAAGAUUUAGCCAAUAGUGUCAUUUACAUAACUAUAAGAGCCGAAAUUUGGUCUAAUCUCAAGGAGCCUUUUUUUAAACUCAAUGCCCCUCAUUUCUUUCAAAUUGAGAGAGAUAUUAUCUCUUUAAGACAAUAACAUUGUUUUGUUGUUACCUAUUAACUGAAAGCUUUAUGGGAUAAACUUACAAAUUUGCUAUUUUUUCCCACAUGUACGUGUUCAACAAAAAAAAAAAGUGUUGGCAGAUUAUUAAUAGCAACAUCAUCUUAUUUAGUUCUUAAUGAGUAUGAAUGAAUUAUAUUUGUUAUACAUGGACAAAUUCUACUUAUAGACCCUCUUCAUAAUUGAAACAACUAUAUUAUCUCAUUUUACAAAAAAAAAAAAAAAAAAAGGGUCAAGGAAUGUGGUUGUGAUAGGACAACCAAGCAUUGAAACCAUGCCUUAGUAGCACAACAAUUAUAUCAUAUGGCAAAGAAACCAAAUAAUAAGGAUCCUAAGUCACAAAAGGAGUGACAUUUUUGCUCCCAUUGUGGUUAGGUUGGACACACAAUUGACUGAUGUUAUAAGUUUCAUGGAUACCUUCUCAAACAUCAUAUUCACAAAGAGACUUCUCAACCUAUUGCAAAUCAAAUAAGUCAACAAUCAUUUUCCAUAAGCAACACUUCUAUUACCUCUCCUUUCAUUAUAGAACAAUUCCAACAACUCUUUGCUCUUCUCAAGCCUCAAGUCAUGACAAAUCAAGUAGGUAGUGGCUCUUCCACUACUCAACUCUCAAGUAUUUGUUUAAACUCUUCUUUUCAUAACACUUCUUAGAUAUUAAAUAGUAGUGCAACAAAUCACAUUAUGAGUUUUAUUACCCUUUUUUCUUCCAUAACAUCCACUACUUUUGCUACUAUUAAGCUUCCUGAUAGUAGUCUUACAUCCAUAACCCAUAUUGGUAUUGUUUCAUUAUCUUCAUCUCUCACUCUUCAUAAUGUUCUUUAUGUGUCUUUAUUUCUUUUUAAUCUUAUUUCAAUUAGCAAGCUCACUCAUUCUUUAAAUUGUUUUCUCACUUUCCAUUUUAAUUCAUGUCUUAUCUAGGACUUUACCUCAAGAAAGAUGAUUAACAAGGGUGAAAAAUGCAAUAGAUUAUACUAUUUUGUUUUUUAAUCAUUAUGAUAUUUGCCCACUUGCUAAGCAAACACACUUGCCCUUUCCUAGUAGUUUUAUCAAUACCUAUGCAAUAUUUAAUAUUAUUUAUUGUGACAUUUGGGGCCCCUCAUCAUACAGAGUUUAUUUAGAGUGCAAGAUUUUUUGUAACCAUUGUUGAUUAUUACAAACAUGUGACUUUAGUCUAUAUAAUGUCCCAUAAAUCUAAAACACAUCAUCUUUUACAAUAUUUCAUCAAGCUUGUCACCAAUCAAUUUGAUCAAAAGGUUAAGAAAGUUUGAUCUAAUAACGGGAAAGAAUUUGCUAUGACUAGUUUGUUUCAAGAGAAUGACAUUUUUCAUCAAACUAGUUAUAUGGAUACUCCCUAACAAAAUGGGGUUAUUGAACAUAAACAUCACCAUCUUCUUAAUGUUGCUCAUACUUUACAUUUUCAAGCACACCUUUCUAUCCAAUUUUGGGGUGAUUGUAUCCUGAUUACUACAUAUUUGAUUGAUAAAACCUGAUCAUCACUUCAAUUCGCCCAUACUCUCUAUGUAAAGCUUUUUUUCUAGAAAACCCUCAUAUCCACAUUGAGUUUUUGGCUACCUUUGUUAUGCUUCUACUCAUGUUUUAAAGAAAACAAAAUCUAAUUCACGUGUCAAAUGUUGUGUAUUUAUCAAGUAUCCUUAUGGUAACAAGGGUUGUAAAUUUUAUGACCUCAAUAAUCACACAACCUUUGUUUCACAUGAUGUAAUUUUUCAUGAAAAUAAUUUUUUCGUUUUCUCAUGUGUCUUCUACUCCUCUUCCACAUUUAGUUCUUUCUUUGCCACCACCAGAAUAUUAUUGAUUUUUCUUCCUCAAAUGUGUCACCACCAUCUAAUCCUCCCUCGUCACCUAUGUGUCUCAUAUUUUGUAUUUUUCCUUUUUUUUAUAUGGUAAUUUCUUCUUAUAUAUAUAUAUACACACAUGUAGAACAAUAUAAUAAAUAUACAAAAAAAUUUCCAUUGCAAAUCUAAAGUUUUUAUUACUUUUUUGCUUAGUCUUGAAAGUUUUAUUGUUUAAGGUUUUAUGAACAAGUUGCCUUUAGAUCCUUUUUUUCUCCUAUUUUUUGCUUUAUUUUAUCAUUUAUUGUAUUAUUGUUUGUUUUUUUGUUUUUGGUUUUGUAUUUUUUUUUUCUCUUGAUUGGGAGAUGUGGGAGGCUUUUUAUUAUCUUUCUGUUUGUUCUCUAUGUUUAGUUUUUUCUUAGGAAAACAAGUUAUUAAGCACUUGGGAAUUCUCAUAUCCUUGAAUGUGUUUUUUUUUUCUUUCUAGCAUGCCUUCAUGCAACCUAUAACUUGAUUUUCUUUGUUUAGGUUAGAGUCAUCCUAUUAUUGCUUGUGCUCAUUUGUACCUUAAGCUUAAAUCUGACUCUUAUGAAUUUGUCGUAUAUAUUCUAUUGAAAGUAUGUCUCUUUGGUUGAUCUCAAAGUGGAAGUCUCUUCAAACUCAACAUGAUCAAAAGGAGAGGCUAUGGCUCUACUCAAUGGGUAGAACAAGUCAUUUACCAGGAAAAGUAGUUUGAGUGGAGAGGAUUUGAAAUGUGGAUUAACCUUGCUUGAGAGCUUGAGAGCUUGAGAUGCAAGAGCCGGAUUUUUGUCAAAUUUUUCACAUUCCUCAGGAUAUCGAGCUUAAGCUUAUUGAGGAUAUGAAUGAAGCAUUAGACACUACUCACCUUGGACCCAAAUCUAAUUCAACAUAUGUUGUUAGAAAGCAUUUUAAUAUGGGCCUAUGGCCACCUCUUCCAUUGUUGGUUUAUCAAUUUUUAUAUUAUUUCCAAAUAAACCAAAUUCAUGUUUAUGCCGAUGUAAUUCAAAUUUUGAGGGGUGCAUUCCUUCUUGAUUAUUUGUAGGGGUUUGACAUUGGAUUAGAGGAUCGAUAUCCUCUUCACGUACAUCAUCAAACUUGAUUCUCAUAAGAAAUUUUUUUUCUAUCCUUGGAUCUCAUUUUCUUCGACUUGUAAUUGGUAUCCCUCAUACAAGCAAAGGGAUAAUAGGCACCAAUGUUAUUAUAUGUAGCUUAUGGGUAGGGACAUCAAUGGAGUGGGUUAGAGUUGGGUUACCCAUUUCCUACUCCAACUUGAUUAUUUACAUUUAUUCUCAUUUUGAAACCGAGCAUGGCAAGUAUUAAAAUUUUUCAUACUCUUCCCAUUCAAUUUAUUUUUUAUUAUUUUUAAUUUUUAAUUUUAUUAAAAAAAAUUAAUUAGACCAAAAAUAAAAUUAAUUUAUAAAUAAAUAAAAUUAUAAAUUUUUAUAAUUUAUUUUUUUGAGAUGUAGAUUUUUAUUUUAUACAUAUUAAAAUGAAGAAAAUGAAAAAAUAAUAAUUAAAUUUUCGUAUAUAUAUAAAAUUGGGGCAGGUGAGGUGGAAUAAGGAAAUACACAAACCUACCUCGAACUUGACUAGAAUUUAAAAAACAUUCUCUAAUCUGCCCUUAACCCAAAUGGCGCAAAUUGCGGUAUUACUCGGUGAUGGUUUCAUGAUCAGGAUGAUAUUCAGAAUAACACGUUUUGUAUUUCUAACUUCCAUCACCCCGCAUUUGUUAUGGCACUUGCAGCCACCCAAGGUUUGUAUUUCUAGCAAAAUCUGAGUAGAAGAUGUAUAAAUGGAUGAUCUCCGUAGGACUUCCUCUCUGAGUUGGUUCAUCUUCUAUAUGAUGGGCGUUGCCACCCUUCCCUAAUCCCGCUUCCUCUAACUAGUUUGUUGGCUGUUUUGACUCAAACCACGACUAGAUUUACAUAUUUCUUGAUCCACUUGAGACAAUGUCAUAAUGUGCUGCGCAGUGGCCGAAGAUCAUCUUCCAACAUGGAUUGCUGAUUAGCUCUUUCAAAUAACUUAUCUACUGUUUAAGGUAAUUUUAAUAAAAUAAGAGUUCGAGAAAAUAGUGUUUGGUAAGAUGGCUUCCUUAAGAGCUUUACAUGAUUGUGCCUCAUGCUGAUGCUAUCAAGUUGUAGUCUGAAUGUGUCAUGAAAUCCCGGGUCAUCUUAACAUUAAAAACGGUUGGCUACACAUUGUGAGUUUCAGGGCAAAAUAGUCCUUUGCUGUAAAAUAAUAUAAGUUUUAACCCCAUCGUAAAACUUAUGUUAAGUGAGAUUUCGGUUUUUUUUCUUUUUAAAUUUAAAAUUUAAUUAAAAAUAUAAAAUUAUAAAUUAUUGUUAAAAUUAAAACAUAUAAUUUAAUAAUAAAAAAUUUAUAUAUUUAAACUUAAUGAUUUAAUAUUAUUUCAAUAAAGAUAAAUUGAUAAAUUAACAAUCUUAAAAUAAUAAAGUUUUAUAAUAUAUAAAUAAGAUAUAAAAUUAUAUAAUUUAUUAAUUUAAGAUGUUUAAUUUGUUGUAUUUUUAAGAUAUUAAUUUAUUUGUAUUUUAAAAUAUUUAUCUUUAUUGAAAUAAUAGUAUUAUUUUAAAUUUCCAUAUAUAGAUUUUUCAUUAUUUUAAAACAUAUGUUUAUAAUUUUAUGUAAAAAAAAUACCUUGAAGAUACAUUUCAAAAUUAGUUAAUAAAAUUGAUUAAAAAAAGUCUACUACAAAAUCUAACUUUUAAUAGUUUCAUCAAAGUUACAAAAAAAAUACCUAUUAAACAUUUAUAUAGUAAAAAAAAAAAACGUCUCUCCCUAAUUGUAACAGGUAACACAUGCUAUAUAACUUAAAUUAAUAAAUUAUACAAUUUUAUAUCUUAAAUAUAUAAUAAAUUAUCUUUAUUGAAAUAAUAUUAGACCUUUUAAGUUUAAAUAGAAAUUUUUAUUAUUAUUAAAGUAUAUAUUUUUAACUUAUUUUUAAAGUAAAAAAAAAAAAAGUUAAAUGAAGCCCCAAUUGUUAUUCGAGACUUCAACUUAAUGUUACGAUGGUAAUAAAAGUGCUACUUUUAACAUAAGUUUUGCUGGGGGGCUAAAACUUAUAUUGAAAUGGUUAUUUUGCCCCACAACUCACACAUUGCUUCUGUCUGAGCACAGGUAGUGAUCAGUAGCAAAGGUCUCUGAUAGCUAACGAAAGUUAUAGGCGAAAUUUGUUGGUAAACAGUACUGGGACCAUGACAAUGUUAGGCACACUAGUAAAACAAGAACUGUUUGUAGGGCAAAUGAUCAUUUCCAAUUUCCGAAGUCUUGGCAAAAGUACAUCAGGUAAUAGAAAGGAUCCACAAUGCCCUCAUACAUAGUGAACUUCAACAUAAAGAAAUGUCCUGGAGAAUCAUGUUGCAAGAUGUGUUGAGGGAAUGGUGUAGCAACCAUAUUAUGGAGGACACAGAAAGCAGAGGUAGGCAAUGACUCUGUCACCGGCUUGAACUCCAUCUCAUAAUGAGAAGAUGUAUCCGCAGAAACCCGAAAUGUCAUUUCCCGAAUGCUGUGGGGGAGUCGGUUUAUCAACACAUGAAUGUCCCUGAAUUCCAACCUGAGCCACUAGUUUCCGGAUAUAAGAAAGUCAUCCUCGUUUAGAUGCUUGUAAGCUCCAUGGACAGGGCUUGCUGCAUUGGAUCCAACAUACGCACCAAGGAUUAAAAAAUCAAAUUAUUUCAACAAUCUAUCAUCUGAAAUUUUGCAUAUUGGUUGGGCCUUUCAAAAAAUUUAAGGGUAAUGUUAGGACAUAGAAUAAGUCUCCCGUGUGAAAGUAAUACAUUCUGCACCACUAGGGUAGGUUUGCCUUUGGUAAUAUAUGUAGUCUGCUUUACUUUUUAAAACAUCCAUAUAAAAAUACGAAAUAUUUAAAUAUGAUCCUUUAAUAAGUAAAUUAAUUUUAAAUAUCUUAUGUUCAAUUUUCAUUUUACAGAUUGUUCAAAAUAUAAAAAUCAUUAUAAUAAUUUUUUGAAUGAGUGUUACUUUAUAUGUUUUGUAUAAUAUAAACAUGUAAAUAAAAUUAAAAAAUAAAUUAUAAAUACAUCAUUAUUUCUUUUAUUUUAUUUAAUACAUCCAAACUAAGUAAAUCAAUAUAAAAUAUAUUUUCAAGUUCAGGAUAUUAUCACUGAAUAAUACAAAUUAUGUCAUAUAUAUAUAUAGACAUAUAUUUGUUUUUAAUUAAAAAAAAACUUUAAUAUGUAUUAUUACUUGUUUUAUCUUUUCCUAAAAUUUUUUCCAAUAUUUUUAUCAGUUUUUAUCAAUAAUCUAAGAAAUAAGUCAAAUGGGCCAUUUCAUCUGCAUAGCCCCAAAUAAAUCGAAUUUAUUUCUUAAAAAUUGAUUUUCAUAUAUUUAUUUUUAGUUUUUAAUUUUUUUUUUUCAAGAUUUAAGUUUUAUUUUGUGAUUUUCCUUCUGACAGGUUUGCCUAUCAUAUUUUUCCUUUCAUUGGUCCAAUAAUAAAGGGAAGGGGGAAGGGCAACAAAAUUCUUGGUGAAUGGUUCGAAAAUUAAAAAAUAAAAAAUGCCAAAAUUCAAGGUUGCCAGCAGCUUAACAAAGCAGGCAUGACAUGGAGUUGUAGGCUGUGGAUGCCAAUUUUUAACAUUUUGCAGCAUCUUCUACACUGAUAAUUGAGCAAGCUGUGUUGCAGAGCCGACCUUUGGGCUCCAUGGAUGCCGAUCCAGCCCAACCUCGCAUCCACCUUGAGUGUCUAUUCAUCAAAUGGCCCAGUUUAUAAAUAAAAGUCUUUACUCUAAUUUAAUAUAAUUUUUAGUUAAAAAAUAUUAAGUCACUAAAUUAAUUUAUCAAACAUAUUUAAUAUAUUUAAUAAUUUAAAUUAAAUAAUUAAAUUGAUUCAUCAAGUACUUUCAACAUUCUUAAACUGAGCGACGAGGUGUUUGGCACCAUCACCAUUCGUAUAAUUGAUUUUAAUGCUCAUGUGGGGUUUUGUAACUCCCAAUAUCUUCAUACGCUUAUCACCUGGUGUAAUGGGUACUAUGACAUAUUCAAUGAUAUUUAGGGAGCUUAUCCUCUCUUUUCAUCAAUCUUGCAUCACCCAUCUUCCCCAAAAUUAUAUCAAUAGGUGCUUGGAAAAUACUAACAUCUCCUUAGAGAUGAUUUAUAUAUAUCGCCUAAUGGGGGUUUUUGGUUGAGGCAGAAGGGGCAAAAUGUUUAGUUAAAGAAACUCGUAGAAAGUGCAGUUUGGUAGAGAGAAUUGACUCAUCUUUUAUGGGUCCUAAUAUUUUCAGUUUUGUGAGCAUGAUUCAUUUAACCUAAACUUCAAGUUAGUUAAGGUAUCAAACAAAAUCAUGCAGAGGACCCUGCUGCUUUUUUUGUUUCUGGCUCUCAAACAAAAUUCAAGUUUGAUUUUUCUUCCCCUAAAGAUGAUACCAACAGAAACGGUUGUGUCCUUUCUGUCUGCCAAAAGUUCCAACAAUUUCUGGGAAAUUUGUUUUUCAAAAACUAGAAAACACAACAAUCAACUAAGAGAAGUCGUAAGUGAUGUCCAGCUACCCACCGAAUGACCGACCCUCCCCUUGCAUUUGCACCGUCCGCCUAAUAAGCCAUGCCCCAUCCCAACAAGUGGGGGCCACAUGCCAUCGACGGCUACAACACUGCUCCUCCCAUCACUGUAGAUACUAACCAGAUCUUUAGUUUUAGUUUUCAACAGGUUCCGCAUUUAGUUACCUGAAUUGCUGUGUUUUGGGCACAAAGAUAUAAGCAUGCUUUCCCGGGAAAAAAAGUCGUCACCGAAUUUCAUUUUUCCCCAUUUUUUCGAUUUUCUAUUGAAAAGGCGGUUGCUUCUCAGAUUCUACCACCAACCACCAUAGCUCAUUCCUCUCAUUAACAAACCCUCUAGAUUUUCUUCCUUCCCCGUCUUUUCCACUGUACACUACCAAAAUUAUUUGUAUUUAAGAAGGAAAAAAAAAAAAAAAAGGGAACAAGAUUUCAAAAAAACACAGCUUGUUUUUUAAAUAUCCCGAUUCCCUCCGAGUCGACUCAUCGCUGCAACCAUAGGUAGGUUGUUCCUUCCUCUACUCGAUUUUGCCAAUUCCGAUACGCUUCAUCACUGCGUUCCAAAUAGCUUCAGUCUGCAAACACAGACCAUUUUGCUCCAUGCCCGACAUGUAGUUCCUCACUUCCUUUCUGAUCAUUUCUUGCAUCACAGCCAAGAAUUCGGGGGUGAAGAAAGGUUUCUCCGACAUACCUAAACCCAACUCACAGUUCUGGAUGUUUCGUGGGGAUCCAGGGUUUUGUUGCAGCUGUACAGGCGGUAUCGCCGGUGAUUGGAGAAUCUGGUUUUGGAUUUUAACAUGAUCGGAUCCUGAUAAAUGAUUUGACACUUCGCAAGAAUCGGAUCCAGGGAGAGAGAGACUGAGGGAUGUUGGGGGAUCGUUCGUCGAUGAGGCGGCCUCGAUUUUCUGAGUAGGUAGAACUAUGGGACCGGUUCUCGGCACUGGUCUAUAAACAAGCGAUGAAGCCAUGCCAGGAGCACUGGAAUCACUGAAUUCGGACCCCGAAGGACUACUUGGGCUAAGAUUAUGACCCGAAACCGUUGUGCCCGCACCCACACUAGCCGAUCUCUUAAGAGGCGGUUGUGCAUGCCCAUCGGCGAUCAUGUCCUCCGUUAUAGACGAGCAUUUCCGCUUCAAAGUUGAAUUCCAGUGGUUCUUUAUGGCGUUAUCCGUGCGACCAACGAGGAGACGAGCAAUCGUCGCCCAUUUGUUCCCGAACCUCGCAUGGGCUCUAAUGAUGGUCGCGUCCUCCUCCGGCGUAAAGGCGCGGUGCUCCACCUGCGGAGAGAGCUGGUUACACCAACGCAGCCGGCAAGACUUGCCGGACCGCCCAGGGAUGGAUUUGCUGAUCAAAGACCAGUUCCUAGGGCCGUGCUUCUGCACCAGUCUCUGCAACGCUUCGUCUUCCUCGGGGCUCCAAGGACCCUUGAUCCGAUCUAAAUCUUUCUUGGAAGACGCCAUGGAUUGAGAAGCCUAAAACGCCUACACGAAUUUGAGCCCUUAACUCUUAACAAAGAGAGGAAGAAAGGAGAGAGACUGAUUUUUCCUUCUCAGCAGAGGAAGUGAAGAAAUCUGGAGGAUGAGGGGGGUUGAGGCCUCACCUUGGUAUGAGGAGAGAGCAUAGAGGAAAAGACAGUGAGGCAUAUAUAUACGAAAGGAUAAGGAUGACUGGCUGAGGCGGUUGCAGUGACCGGUCAUAGCCGUUGCGAGUGGAGGAUUCUUCCGGGCAAAGGCAGUUACUAGCAAACAGCUGUCACCGGACACGCGUCGCGCUGGCGACGAUCUACGUCUACGCAUAAUUACACACUAAAAUCUCGGUAUUUUAAAGUUCACCGACCGUUUUGGAAGUUAUGAGGGAGGUUAAAUUAGAAAUGGGGCAUUUAUAAAGGGCUUAUAGAUGAAAUUUUCAAAUUUCUGAACUGAAGUGUACGGUUGAAGUGAGUGAGGGUGAGGGAGCGGACUUUGACUGAGCCAGGCUGGAGAGCAUUUGGUGAAUGAUUUUAAAUUUUUAUGCAAUAUCAGAAAAGGACGGGAGGGAGUGGAUGAGCUGGCACUAAACGACAACGUCUAGUAGCAGAAUCAGGGGACGAACGGUACUACUCUUCUGUCACUCCAGCCUGUAAACCAGCCACUCAUAUGGCAACGCCUAACGGCCUUCUCUUUACUGCCACGUGCCGGUGGGUCACCCCUUUCUCUCCGUUUUCCUAAACCGACUCCACCGUUUUACCUGCAUCAUCUCUGUUUUCCUCCUUUCACCUUCCAAUUUAAUUCGCAUUCACAUCUUUAAUCUUUUUAAUCGCUUGCUAUUUUUAUCAAUUAUCAUAUUUUGUUUUUGCAAACUUGUGUUCAAAUUAAUUUUUAAAAUUCAAAAUACAUUAAGACUCCGGACUUACAAAUUUAGUUGAUUGUUUAUUUAAGAGAGUGGGAUAAUUUAAAUGUUCUUUUUUCUUUAAUCAUAAAAAAGUCUAAAAUAAAAGAAAAUAUAAUUAAAAUUAAUUAAAAAAUUAUAAAUUUUUAAAAAUAUAAGAAAAAUAAAUGAAAUAAGUUAUAUAUAUUUUAUUUAUUGGCUACCAUUUUCUCUCAAAUUUUUUCAACAACCAAGCAUAAUGGAAACAUUUAAUAGAUCAUUUGGCUCCACCUUAUUGCUAUAGUAAUUAAAAUUGUAAAAUUUAGAACUAGCCAUGAAAACAUUACUUUUUAAAUUAAAAUUUAAUAAAGUAGAAACGAAGUAUCAUUCUAAUAAUCUUGUAGAACUCUCAUGAUUUCUUUAUCAUAUAUGUUAAAAUUUGUUAAUUAAUUUACGUAUUUUUUUAUUGAUUUUUACUGGUAUUUUUAAAUAUAACAGAAAGGUAUUAAUUAGAAUAAGUAAGUAGGUUUUACUUGAAAGUAAUUUUUGAUACAACUAAAAAUAAAAAAAGGUGUUUAACAAAUCAAUUUAAUGAUUUAAUAUAAUUUAAUAAUUUAAUUUAAAUUAUUAAAUAAGUUAUGGAUGUGUGACAAAAUUACUUAAUAUUAUAAUUUAAAAUUGUUUUUAAUUACGGUUUAAGGCUUGUAUCCCUUUGGCCUUUUAAGGCCGUUGACUAUUCUCCAGGAGAUUACGUAUUAAUUGGCUCCUCCUUCUCAAUGUUGAACACAUCUGUCUGCCACUCACCUCUUUCUGGUUGCUAGAUUAGCCACCAUUGUUCUUGCAACAUUGCAAGCAGCUUUCCCGUGUUAGCCAUUGCAAUUUCAUUUUCUAGAUGCAAUUUCUGUCGUUUACAGCAUCCCACUCUAUUGAACCAUUGAACAUUACAGUUUUUAAGAAACAAAAUCUCUUCAUCAUUUCUUCUGGAGGAAUAUUCUUAUGUUCUAAUUUCCUUUUCCUUUAUUGUUUGUUUUGGGCUUGGUCAUUUUUAACUCUAGCCUUAAUUUUUUUAAACCUAUUUUUUCUAACACCUCAGUUGAUGAGAAGUGCAUAACAAUUUCAGUAUUUUUGGUCACACUAGAUUGUUAUGUUGAAUACCGUACUAUUUAAAUUUAGGUCCUACAUCGGUAUACGGCAUUUAAUAUAUUUUAAGACUUAGUAAAAUGGCAGGAUAAGAACAAAUAUCAAGAUCAGGUAUUUAAUGUAUUUUGAGAUACAGUAAAAGAAGCGAUAAAAAAACAAAUGUGAAGGGGAGUCAUGAGUGGUGUUUGCAGGAGGGCGUAAGUAUAAUAUGUUGGAAAUGACGGUGGAGAAUGGAGAUAGGAGAAAAGAUGAGUAGUGAGAAAAAGAAUGAAAAGAUAUAUGCGUAGAAACAGAAAAAACGGAAAAGAGGAGAGGAAAGCAACAAAAACAGAAAACAGAAAAGGAGGGUGAGUCCUUAUCUUCAACAUGCAGUCGUUUCGCCGGGACAGCUGUCUCAACUUCUCCCUUCCAUACAUGCCUAUCUCACGUGCCACGCGCUCUUCUCUCUCACCUAACUCUGUCCUUUGCUCGUACCUCCAUGUUUUGAGCAUGUCCUCACGUGACAUGACCAUCCCUUCCAUGGCUGCACCCUCUGUCCCUCGUGGCCACGCUCCUCAUGAGCCAGGGUGCCACAAGGGCUUCACCCCCACCCACCCAAUUAACGAAGUCAAAUUAUUUAAUUUUGAUUUGGUGAUUAGGCAGAAUAUUAAGUCACAUGGUGUGGAAGAGCGGAGGAUGUUUCCACAAUUGAUUAAAAUUUGCAGGUGACGAAUAAAAACAAAAGUUCCCGUUUCCAAGUUCCAAGACUCUCAAGGAAGGGCAAGGCCGACGUUGCAUUAUUAGAGUCCACAGGCGCAACACAUAAAAUAACAAGGAAUUGAAACACACAGGACCGCAAAAAGAAUGAUACGUCAUUAAAAUAAAAUAUCGGAGAUUAGGCCGCAGAAAGUAAAAGUGAGCACAGAUUCUCUCGCACCAAGUACAUUGUUCCCAUUAACAAAUGUAGGACUGGGGAUGGUACUAUAAUUGCUGUUGGGACACUGAAUCAUUGAAUGUAGCACCAUCAUAGCUGGGCAUGGUCGUCUUCGUCUUUCAUUAAUUAAAACAAAUAGGGUCGUUAAAAAUCUUAUGAAUACCUAAAAAAACUCGUUUGAAAAAUAUAUUCUCGUUCAUUCAUCGUCUUCAGAAAUUCAGGAUGAAUUAUGUAGAAAAAAGAAGAAUAGGAAGGGGCCUCCAUUGUAUUAUUGGUGUGUCACCUGUAGCGACAGCCAUGCGUGUCGUCCAAAUGAAGUGCGUGGGUGUGUAGUGGAAUGAGAAGCAGACACGUAGACACAUCAAUGGCGACCAAACAUCCGACACGGCAAGCAAAGUGAUGACUGAGUUCUGCCACGUAUGCGGAAGUGGGCCAGGAAGGAAAUUCGUCUGUUUAAGAGUGACGUGGCAGAUAUGGCAUAGGGGGGAAGGACCAUAUGGCAGAUAUGGCAUAGGGGGGAAGGACCAUAGAGAGCCGAGAAGCCGUUGUACUUUGGCAAUCAGGUGCCACGUCCACAGUUGCCAGCUAUAACCCACUUCCCGAAUCCCAAGAAAUUAAGAAGAUAAUAAUCGUCUUUUUAUUUAGCGGGGGAUGGCGAAAGGUGGGUGGUGUGGUGGGGUAAGUGACCAUGAUUUUCGCUGCAUUCAGCCAAUGGUACGAUAGGAACGUACGCUUGACGUCUGUCAUCCUGUAUUAGCGUACGGCACAUAUUAACUGUUGCUGGCCUAUACGUAAGUCGUGUCCAAAUUUGGGUUCCGCCUCGGUCUUUUCACCCACUGAAUUUCUAGUAAAGUAGAGGCUAUGGUGUACCCUCGACAUGUAGCUCUGUGUUUAAUUUGGGGGUUCAAUGGAUCAAGUCCUCAUCCUGUAACGUCACACAUACCGUCUUUUCUAGCUACCGCUGUCAUCAUUUUGAUUUCUGUACUCCUCUGUAUAUCGUAAGUUCACAACUUUAAAUCAUCGCCUUUGUCAUUGUAUUUGAAAACGCAUUGCUCACAAGUUCAUUCAAAAUUUUUAAUCCUUAGAGAAGUACACUUUAAAGCCUUUAAAAUUUCUCUCUAUAGUUGUAUACUUUUGCCAGCCAUUUAGGAGAAGGUAGAUAUCUCAGUCAUCUCCAUGGUUAGACAACCAGAUUCUCACUCUGAUAUUUUGCAACCAUAAAUGGAGAAAAUACAGCGUUGAAUGACUGUAGAUACAGGUAAAGACAUAUUCAACAUCCUUUCAGGGGUAAAAAAUUUUGAAAAAAAAGGGAAAGGUACAACAGAUUCUUUCCCCUUAUCAGAAACUUUCUUUCAUUUUGGACACCUUUUGUAGGAAAUACAAACCAACCGCACAUGCCCAUACCAGGCUUUAGAUCAAGAGCUGUUAUUGGGCACUUGCCUAUUCCUUUUACUCUUUUUGAGGACAUAUAAUUGCGCACCGUCCAAUUCAUUAGCCUAGAACUGAGUGCCCAAAAAUAUAAAAAACUCAUGAUCAAAUAGGUGGUGGUAUGCUGAACCUAACAAAUUUUCUGUUAAUGUGCCACCCAAUUCAUCACUUGUGGUUACUCGGUUGCACCCAAUUUCUCAUUAAUUUGCAAUCCACGCAUAACUCAACUGUGGUGUCCUCAACACCCCCAUUUCGUUAGAUUUGAUUCUGAAUUUUGUCUAUCAGAUUGAAUUGGUAACUAACUUUGAAAGUCAUAUGCGCAACUUGGCAUGCAAGAUCUGUCCCGAAGUAGGACCACGUACCCAUCAAGCUUUAUGGUUUUCAUAUCUAGCUAAGAAUUUUUUUAUAAUAAUAAUAAAAUAAAGGGGGGGAGUGGGGGAUGGAACAGAAGCUGAAGUAGUGGGUGGACCUCGUGCUUCUCGUGCCAUAUUUUGAAUAAAAUAUUCGUUGAACAGUUCUGGUGAUUUAAUAAUUGAAGAAUUGACCAGAGAAAAAAUGGGCAGAGACGAAAGAAGAAUGAGCUGUUGCAACUGUCCACUCGGUCUUUUAGUUAUUUAUCUGCAUCAAUCGGUUUUUUAAAAGGAAAAACAGACAUCCCUAUCCACGUAAUUAUUAUAAACAGAUAAUGAACAAGUGGAUUACAACUAACAAUGUAUUGAUGUUGGAUGUUUAUUAUAAUGAAGAUUAUUGAGUGAAUGAUUUGUGGAAGCAAACAAAAGUCCAUAGUUACGUCUGGAAUUAUAUUACAGUUGGCGAUGCCUCUUCUAGAAUUCAUUGCGUCUCGGCUAUGUAAGGCAAAUAUCAAAUGAAGGUCAUGUCAAAGCGUUGGAGUCACAUGCUUAAUGGCUACGACAUACUGGUCAAUGGGUCUGCAUCAACACCUUCAUUCAAGUUGACCCAUUUAAGAUUAGGGCAAAUUGAGCAAGUAAACGUGUUUUUAUUUCUUUAUUUAUUUAUCUUUUGACUGCUUCAAACCAAGGCACUACCCCUUCAAUUCAUUGCUCUGCCCAUUAAGUUCUAAUCUUAAAAAUCAAGCAAAUCCUAAUAUCUCUAAUUAAUUUGUCAAUUUAUCCACACACACAAAUUGAUUAAAAGAAAUCUGUACCAACUUUUGAAUAUCCUUGCUGAAGCUUAUAAUAGAACCCAUGCUGUUGUACUAAAGAGAAGAAAUACUAGUGCCACCAUAAAUCUUUCUAAAUAAGUCUUCUAAUAAUAAGUUGGACGACCCAAAAUACUCAUUACUCACUUAUUUUGAUGGAUCAUUUAAUUAUCUUAGUAGAGGAAAAAUAAUUUAAGCUCCGUUUGGUUAAUAUCUUUUAAAUUAAUUUUUUAUUUUCUUGAAAAUUUAUAUAUAUCUGACAAUAAGAUAAUAGCAAAAAAUAAAGUAUUUUUAGAAAAUAUUUUUUAAUUAAUUUUUUCUUAAUUUUGUUAUGAUUGUUUUAAAAAAUAAUUAUACAAAUAUUAAAAAAUAAAAAAUAAAACAUAACAUAUACUAAUUAUUUUUAAAAUACAUUCAAAAACAAAGAAACAAACAAAUAUUUGUUUUACAAAAUAAUAGAUAAUAAUUUUCAAAAAAGUAUUAUAAAAAAUUGUUUUUAAGAAUUAUUUUCAAAAUAGAUAUCAAAUAAGGUCUUAAACUUUGUUUUAUAACUAUUUUAAAACAAUUUUAUGUUUUUAAAAAAAAUAAAUUUCAAUUAACUAAAAAAAGGUUUUUUUGUUCUUAACAAGAAAAAAAUAUAUUCUUGAAAAAUAAUGGCAUAAAUAUAAAGAAUAAUUAAAAGUAAAUCAUUAUAUAUAAAAGUUAUUUUUAAAUAUAUUUAAAAAUAUAGAAAAUAAGUUUAAAAUAUUUUAAGUUUCAAAAUGCUUUUUAUUUUAUAAAACAUAAUGAUUUUUCAAAAAUUAUUUUUAAAAACUGUUUUAUAAAAUCAAAACAAAAUCAUAUCCUUUUUUUCGGAGAUCUCUAUCUUUUCUUUCCCAGCAGUCCCAAAAUUAUACCUAUGCUAUGCACCUGCCUUUUUAUACUACGCUUGUGCCCAAAAAUUAGUUCUAGCUAUUCCCAUCAAUGAACUGACAAAUCAACAAUAAAAAUGGCUCCAUGAGAGCCGGACAAAGUGGAGUCCACAGCAAUUGAGCUCAUUAAAAGUAGUGUGAAGUCUCUUUUGGUAGCUUUUUUUUUUUUUUUUUGAAAAAAAAAAAAUUGCCAUCUAAACAGUAAUUAAAAUGAUACCAUUUUAAUGCCGUUGGAAAAAAAUAUAAAAUAAAAGGGUAAAGUGUGAACGUAAUAAAAAGAAAUGCGUGAAGAAUAAGCAACGCGCCUCAGUUUUUGAAAUACGGGAUCCCGCUCCCCUUCUGUGGUUCCAUUUUAAAAUCUUCCCCAAUUUGGACCUAUGUUACCAAGAGAAAAAAAAAAAUGGCGUCCGGUAUAGGAAUGAUGGAUUCUGCAUGUUCUGUGAGUAGACCAUUCUUUCAGGGAUCAACUCGACUCUCAAGCUCAAAUCUUUCCAAAAUUGAAGAGGUUCCUUUUAAAUUUCUCUUCUUUUGUUUAGUUUCUUCUUUUGAGUAAAAAUUCUCACGGCAAUGAUGAGGGUUUCUACAGAUGGCUGAUGGUGCGAUUCCAUGUCAACUAAUGGAUCGAUGCUAUCCAUCUAGAUGUGCUGCCCAUGCGUAAGGUUAAUUUUGAGGCCAAGAAAAUAUAUAAAUGAGACGAACCAGAAUCACAAGGUCGUUGAAGAUGUUUCAGAUCACCAGAGAGGCUCGCUUCUCUUCUUUAUCCACGGAAUUGGGGUUUUCUUUCAACUUCACUGACUAUUUCAUUUGUUUGUUAAUUUUGAGUAUCAAGAAAACUAUAAUUUUAAAGGAAAAUCAAUUCAACUAAAGUCUUAUGCAAUUGUUUUAACUGAAUUGAGCUGAGUAUUUUCAUUUUGGUCGAUUAAGCCAUUACGCUUCUAAUUUCUUGUCCUCCUUUUAUUCCUCAUUUUUUUUCUCUCUCAUUGUAUAGGAUUCUUGCCUUCCUAUUUGACUCUCUGAUUUUUCCCGGUAUUUUGUUCUUUACGGCGUUUCGCAGAUGGAAGGAAGGCUUCUCCUCAAUUUGGAGUUCAUGCAGUGGAUGAAAAGUAAAUGUUAACAAGUAAUCCUUACCUCAUUGCUUUCUAAAUUUUCAGUUUAGUGGAAUUUUUUUAAUUUUCUCGUGUAGGAAGUGAGUGGUAUAUUGGUAGUUUUGAGCAUCAAUCCCGCACAUUUAUUACUUAAAAGGACCCAAUGAGGAAAGGCCAGGUUUUCUUUGUAUGAAAGCUAGCUAGCUCCUAGCUCCUAGCUCCUAAGCAAAGAAUAAAGGAAUUUAGGCAUGGACAGAAAAGACACUGUGAAAGGUCAGAAUGCUGUAUUGUUGAAAAUUUGAUAAAUCCAGCUGAUUGGCAUAGUUAUUUUUACUAUUUGAAGUACAGUAGGCGCUUGGCUUUUGGAAAAAAAGAACAUUAUGGAUAUCUGUUAAUAAUAAAUGUUUUGAGUUUCCAUGUUACUUGCAUUCCCUAGGAAAGGAAUGGACAACUCCUCAGACGUGCAAUACCUGCUGCUUAGAAUGAACACGCUCGCUGUCUAGUUGUUGUCAAUGAAAAAGAUAAAACGAAAAUGCCAGGGAAUCUUAGACGCGGUGUAAACAAGUUUGGACUAUUGAAUAUGUAUGAGAAGACUUACACCCAUAAACAAGUUUAUAGGCGAAAAUGUAGAAGUCGGUGGUGUCUUUUUUAGAGGUAUAAACAAAAUACCAUUGAUCACAUUUUUUAGAGGUAUAUUCAUGAAAAGUAUGGUGAAAUAAAGUAAUCUUACAUCAAAGGGUUACUUAUGAGAACUUUUUAAGCAUUUUGUAAAUUUUAAAGAAAACAUAGACGCGGACCUUUGAUCACAUUUCCAUAAUCCAACUAGAUGAGUAUACACUAUGAACUUGGACUUGACAUAGGCCCACAGGUGCAUAGGCCUCACUAGGCAGGUGUGAACUUGGGCUUAGCCCACGCCUACAUGCUUUGAGGCUUAAUUGAAAUAUCCACCAACAUGAAGUGGGGACUUUUCUCAAUAGUACAGCAAUUUAAAAAAGUUAUGCUUAAAUUACUGUACUGGCAGAAGUUAUUACAAAUAUAGGGUAGUUUUUGCCACAUAGGAGAGAGGAGAGAGGAGAGAGGGUGAGAGAAGAGAGGAAAGAGGAGAGAGGAGAGAGGAGAGAGGAGAGAGGGUGAGAGAGAGGAGAUAGGAGAGAGGGUGACUGUAAAAAAAAAGCAAACUCGUCUCUUGAAGAGACGAGUUCCAUGAAAGAAGAGAGGAAAGAGGAGAGAGGAGAGAGGAGACAGGAGAGAGGAGAGAGGAGAGAGGGUGUGUAAAAAAAAGUAAACUCGUCUCUUGAAGAGACGAGUUCCAUGAAAAAAGAGAGGAAAGAGGAGAGAGGAGAGAGGAGAGAGGGUGACUGUAAAAAAAAAGCAAACUCGUCUCUUGAAGAGACGAGUUCCAUGAAAGAAGAGAGGAAAGAGGAGAGAGGAGAGAGGAGAGAGGGUGAGAGAGAGGAGACAGGAGAGAGGAGAGAGGAGAGAGGGUGUGUAAAAAAAAGCAAACUCGUCUCUUCAAGAGACGAGUUCCAUGUAAAAAAAAAUAUAUUUUUUAUUUUAAAAAAUCCCAAAUUUAAAAAAAAAAAAAAAAAAUUCCAAAGGGAACUCGUCUCUUCAAGAGACGAGUUCCAUGUAAAAAAAAAAUUUUUUUAAAAAAAUAUAAUUUUUAUUUUAAAAAAUCCCAAAUUAAAAAAAAAAAAUAAAAUCCAAAGGGAACUCGUCUCUUCAAGAGACGAGUUCCAUGUAAAAAAAAAUAUAUUUUUAAAAAAAUAAAAAAUCCCAAAUUAAAAAAAAAAAAAAAAAAAACACACAAUUCCAAAGUGAAGAGACGAGUUCCAUGUAAAAAAAAAUAUAUUUUUUAAAAAAUAUAUUUUUUAUUUUAAAAAAUCCCAAAUUUUAAAAAAACAAAAAUAAAUUCCAAAGGGAACUCGUCUCUUGAAGAGACAAGUUCCAUGUAAAAAAAAAUAUAUUUUUUUAAAAAUAUAUAUAUUAAAAAAAAAAUCCCAAAUUAAAAAAAAAAAAAAAAAAAAAACACAAUUCCAAAGGGAACUCGUCUCUUCAAGAGACGAGUUCCAUGUAAAAAAAAUAUAUAUUUUUUAAAAAAUAUAUUUUUUAUUUUAAAAAAUCCCGAAUUAAAAAAAAAAAAAUUCCAAAGGGAACUCGUCUCUUCAAGAGACGAGUUCCAUGUAAAAAAAAAUAUUUUUUUAAAUAUAUAUAUAUUUAAAAAAAAAAAAAAAAAAAACAAUUCCUCAAAAUUUCUAACAGACGAGUUCUCAUCUAAAAAAAAAUAUUUUUUUUUUAAAUAUAAAAUUUCAAGAGACGAGUUCCUUUAGGAAAAAAAAUAUAUUUUUUAAAAAAUAUAUUUUUUAUUUUAAAAAAUAUAUUUUUUAUUUUAAAAAAUAUAUUUUUUAUUUUAAAAAAUCCCGAAUUAAAAAAAAAAAAAAAUUCCAAAGGGAACUCGUCUCUUCAAGAGACGAGUUCCAUGUAAAAAAAAAAUUAUUUUUUUAAAAAUAUAUAUAUAUUAAAAAAAAAAAUCCCAAAUUAAAAAAAAAAAAAAAAAAAAAAUUAAUUCCAAAGGGAACUCGUCUCUUCAAGAGACGAGUUCCCAUGUAAAAAAAAAUAUUUUUUUAAAUAUAUAUAUUUUUAAAAAAAAAAAAAAAAAAAAAAAAAAAAUUUCCCCAAAUUUCCAAACAGAGGGUUUCCCACCAAAAAAAAAAUUUUUUUUUUUAAUUAUAAAAUUUCAGGAAACGGUUUCCUUUGGAAAAAAAAAAAUAUUUUUUAAAAAAAAAUUUUUUAAUUUUAAAAAACCCCAAUAUAAAAAAAAAAAAAAANNNNNNNNNNNNNNNNNNNNNNNNNNNNNNNNNNNNNNNNNNNNNNNNNNNNNNNNNNNNNNNNNNNNNNNNNNNNNNNNNNNNNNNNNNNNNNNNNNNNAAAAAAAAAUAUUUUUUUUAAAAAUAAUAUAUAUUUNAAAAAAAAAAAAAAAAAAAAAAAAACAAUUCCUCAAAAUUCCUAACAGACGAGUUCUCAUUUAAAAAAAAAUAUUUUUUUUUAAAUAUAAAAUUUCAAGAGACGAGUUCCUUUAGGAAAAAAAAUAUAUUUUUUAAAAAAUAUAUUUUUUUUUUUAAAAAAUCCCGAAUUAAAAAAAAAAAAAAAAAAAUUCCAAAGGGAACUCGUCUCUUCAAGAGACGAGUUCCAUGUAAAAAAAAAAUUAUUUUUUUAAAAAUAUAUAUAUAUUAAAAAAAAAUCCCAAAUUAAAAAAAAAAAAAAUUAAUUCCAAAGGGAACUCGUCUCUUCAAGAGACGAGUUCCCAUGUAAAAAAAAAAAAUUUUUUUAAAUAUAUAUAUAUAUUUAAAUUAAAAAAAAAAAAAAAACAAUUCCUCAAAAUUCCUAACAGACGAGUUCUCAUCUAAAAAAAAAUAUUUUUUUUUUAAAUAUAAAAUUUCAAGAGACGAGUUCCUUUAGGAAAAAAAAUAUAUUUUUUAUUUUAAAAAAUCCCAAAUUUAAAAAAAAAAAAAAAUUCCAAAGGGAACUCGUCUCUUGAAGAGACGAGUUCCCUUUUUGAAAAUUUUUUGGGAUUUUUUUACAUGGAACUCGUCCCUGGAAGAGAGGAGUUUGCUUUUUUUUACCCACCCUCGCUCCCCUCUCCNNNNNNNNNNNNNNNNNNNNNNNNNNNNNNNNNNNNNNNNNNNNNNNNNNNNNNNNNNNNNNNNNNNNNNNNNNNNNNNNNNNNNNNNNNNNNNNNNNNNNNNNNNNNNNNNNNNNNNNNNNNNNNNNNNNNNNNNNNNNNNNNNNNNNNNNNNNNNNNNNNNNNNNNNNNNNNNNNNNNNNNNNNNNNNNNNNNNNNNNNNNNNNNNNNNNNNNNNNNNNNNNNNNNNNNNNNNNNNNNNNNNNNNNNNNNNNNNNNNNNNNNNNNNNNNNNNNNNNNNNNNNNNNNNNNNNNNNNNNNNNNNNNNNNNNNNNNAAAAAAAAAAUUUUUUUAAAUGUGUUUAUAUUUUUAAAUUAAAAAAAAAAAAAAAACAAUUCCUCAAAAUUCCUAACAGACGAGUUUUCAUUUAAAAAAAAAUAUUUUUUUUUUAAAUAUAAAAUUUCAAGAGACGAGUUCCUUUUGGAAAAAAAAUAUAUUUUUUAUUUUAAAAAAUCCCAAAUUUAAAAAAAAAAAAAAAUUCCAAAGGGAACUCGUCUCUUGAAGAGACGAGUUCCAUGUAAAAAAAAAUAUAUUUUUAAAAAAAUAUAUUUUUUAUUUUAAAAAAUCCCAAAUUUAAAAAAAAUAAAAAAAUAAAAUUCCAAAGGGAACUCGUCUCUUCAAGAGACGAGUUCCCUGUAAAAAAAAAUAUAUUUUUAAAAAAAUAUAUUUUUUAUUUUAAAAAAUCCCAAAUUAAAAAAAAAAAAAAAUCCAAAGGGAACUCGUCUCUUCAAGAGACGAGUUCCAUGUAAAAAAAAAAUAUUUUUUUAAAAAUAUAUAUAUUAAAAAAAAAAUCCCAAAUUAAAAAAAAAAAAAAAAAAAAAAACACACAAUUCCAAAGGGAACUCGUCUCUUGAAGAGACGAGUUCCAUGUAAAAAAAAAAUAUUUUUUAAAAAAUAUAUUUUUUAUUUAAAAAAAUCCCAAAGGAAACUCGUCUCUUGAAGAGACGAGUUCCAUGUAAAAAAAAUAUAUUUUUUUAAAAAUGUAUAUAUUAAAAAAAAAAUUCCCAAAUUAAAUAAAUAAAAAAAAAACACACAAUUCCAAAGGGAACUCGUCUCUUGAAUAGAGUUCGCUUGAUGAAUUGUUUUUUUAAAUAUUUUUUUUAAAAAAAAAUUUGUUUUUACGAACUCAUCUUAAAGAGACGAGUUCCCUUUAGGAAUUAUGAGGAAUUGUUUUUUUUUUAAAAUAUAUUUUUUUUUACAUGGAACUCGUCUCUUCAAGAGACGAGUUCCCUUUGGAAUUGUGUUUUUUUUUUUUUUUUUUUUUUUAAUUUGGGAUUUUUUUUUUAAUAUAUAUAUUUUUUAAAAAAUAUAUUUUUUUUUACAUGGAACUCGUCUCUUCACUUUGGAAUUGUGUGUUUUUUUUUUUUUUUUAAUUUGGGAUUUUUUUUUAAUAUAUAUAUUUUUUUAAAAAUAUAUUUUUUUUUACAUGGAACUCGUCUCUUGAAGAGACGAGUUCCCUUUGGAUUUUUUUUUUUUUUUUAAUUUGGGAUUUUUUAAAAUAAAAAUUAUAUUUUUUAAAAAAUAUUUUUUUUUUACAUGGAACUCGUCUCUUGAAAAGACGAGUUCCCUUUGGAAUUUUUUUUUUUUUUUUUUUUUUAAUUUGGGAUUUUUUAAAAAAAAAAAAAAAUUUUUUUUUACAUGGAACUCGUCUCUUGAAGAGACGAGUUCCCUUUUUGAAAAUUUUUUGGGAUUUUUUUACAUGGAACUCGUCUCUUGAAGAGACGAGUUUGCUUUUUUUUACACACCCUCUCUCCUCUCUCCUCUCUCCUCUCUCCUGUCUCCUCUCUCUCACCCUCUCUCCUCUCUCCUCUCUCCUCUUUCCUCUCUUCUUUCAUGGAACUCGUCUCUUCAAGAGACGAGUUUGCUUUUUUUUUACAGUCACCCUCUCUCCUCUCUCCUCUCUCCUCUUUCCUCUCUUCUUUCAUGGAACUCGUCUCUUCAAGAGACGAGUUUGCUUUUUUUUACACACCCUCUCUCCUCUCUCCUCUCUCCUGUCUCCUCUCUCUCACCCUCUCUCCUCUCUCCUCUCUCCUCUUUCCUCUCUUCUUUCAUGGAACUCGUCUCUUCAAGAGACGAGUUUGCUUUUUUUUUACAGUCACCCUCUCUCCUCUCUCCUCUCUCCUAUCUCCUCUCUCUCACCCUCUCUCCUCUCUCCUCUUUCCUCUCUUCUCUCACCCUCUCUCUUCUCUCCUCUUUCCUCUCUCCUCUCUCCUAUGUGGCAAAAACUACCCUAUAUUUGUAAUAACUUCUGCCAGUACAGUAAUUUAAGCAUAACUUUUUUAAAUUGCUGUACUAUUGAGAAAAGUCCCAUGAAGUGGUCUUUUUGAGGCAUGUUUACACCUCAGAACGACAAAUUCGUUUUAAAAACAUAAAAUCAAACUUUAACUCCGAUUAAUCUUAUUUGUGUUUUUUAAUUUUUAUGUACUUAAUUUAUUUAUUUUACACACUUGUUAGUCAUCACUUGACAUAUUCACAACAAGGAGAGUUAGAUUGAUAAAAAAAACAAAGAAAUGGUUUUUUUUUUUUAUCAAUUUUUCUUAAAUUUUUUCUUUUGACUUGAAAAAUAUAAAACACUUGCAUUCAAAUGACAAAUCAAAAUAUGAUUUUCAAAAUAUUUCUUUAAAGUUGGUUUAUGCAUAACAAAAAAUUACUAAUGUCAAUUGUUUUCAAGGUAAACAUAUCAUUUUUUUUUUUGGUACGGGUCCCUAAAAAAAUCAAUUAGGUAAUCUUUGAUACCCAUAUAUUUUAAGGCUCUAGAGGGUUAAUCUUUUUUUUUUUUUUCUUUUAGAAUCUAAAAUAAUUUAAAAUUUUGAACAACAUGAAAGGAUUUUCUUAAAGGACAAGCACUACAAAUAUAAUGUCAUCUUUUACAAAAAUUAUAGAUGGUGAAUAAACUAUUGUUAGAUUUUUCUUUCAUAAAAUAGUUCUUAAACUAUUUUUUUGUUCUUGAAAGGCUUCUAGUUUAUCUUUUUUUUUCUUUUUUUUUUCUUUUUUGUAUCAAAAAUGCAUUUUUAGUUAGCAAGAAUCACAUCAAAAUAUUUUUGUCCAAUAAAUAAUUUUGUUAAAAAGGAUGUUAAUCAUUCAUUAUUUUUUUUUAACUCAUCAUUUUUGUUAGGAAUAUUAGGCUAAUCCAACCUAUGGUAAUCACCUUAGAGGGAGGUGAAUAGGGUGAUGGUCUCUUUUCGUAAAUUUAAACUAUAUGAAUGAAGAGACAAUUAUAUACAAGUAUAUAAUAAGCAAUAUAAAGACAAUUGCAUAUAAAUUAAAGAAUAGGGAAGAGAGAAUGCAAACACAAGAGUUUAUAGUGGUUUGGCGCAACCCAGUCUACAUCCACUCUCUUCUAACAUUAAUCCUGAGCUUCAGGUUCCACUAAUCCAAGGCUUCCAAACCAAGUCUUCAAGCAAUACAAUUGGAUUAUGGUUCCAAUUCACCCUUUUAGACUUUUGGCUCCAAACACCCUUUACACUUCUCAAGAGAUAUCCCACUCUUAAACAACCCCUCAAGUGAUACCCCCACACUUGAGAAACUUCCUCUCAAAGAUUUACAAAUGAAUGAUCUUUAAAAAAUCAUAGUACAAAAACUUUAAGCUUAAAUGAUACAAGAAAAACUAGGAUUGAAUGGUGCACUAAGGAUAUGCAAGUUGUAGAACAAUGGUGCACUCAAAAACACUCUUCCAAGGCUCAAAUAUAAUCAAGAAAGGUUUGUGAAGGUUAAAACUUAUAAAACAAUGAAGAUUGGAGUUUUUUUAUAAAAAAAAAAAAUGCAAACUAGCUAUUGGGGGUUCGACCGGUUGACUAGCCAUUAGCAUUUAAUGCUUGGCGAGUGACUGUUGAGCCUCAAUCGGACCUCAACCAGACCUCAACCGGUUGAGGUUCAACCUUGACCGGGAAGAAAGACCACUAGAAGAGAUAAACUUUUUGGCUUCCUUCACCGGUCCUCGACCGGACGAGCACAACCAGUCGACCGAUUGAAUCAGUUGAGCCAUUUUUUGGCUCAACACCCAACCUUUUUCAACUUAAAACCUUUUAACACAAGUUUGAAAAUCAUUUAACACAAGGUUUUAGUUGAAAACAUGAAAUCAUCCAAUUUUUAAGAUAUUUAAAGCAAUAUUACUCUUGAAUUAUUUUGGUGCAUAAAUAAAGAAUGAAAUGCAUGAAAGUCCUAGUGCACCAACAACCUUACAAAGAGAUCUUAUGAAGCUUUGGUCUUGAAAAACUCUUCUCUUUGAGGUGAUCUUCUUCUUCAUGAUUUCUCCUUGGCUUGAUUUGUCUUUGUGAUUGCCACUUUGGAAAUCAUCUUGCCUAAUCACACUUGAAAUAUGAUCAUUAGUUCUAAACCUUGUUUUGUUAUCAUCAAAAUUAAGAUUAAUCAAACCUUGGUUUCACAAUUUUCUUCUUCAAAUGAUGUUUUUACCUUCUUAAUAUUUUCAAAAUUUUCUUUGAGCUUAAUCAUUGAACUUAUUUUCAAGAGAAUAAAUUUUCUUCUUGAGAAAGGUAUUUUUCAAAAUCAAGGUAUAAUUCUUCAAAGAUAUUUUGUAAUUCAUCAUUUAUAGUUGAAGAAUUUAGUUCAUCUUCAUGGUCUUCCAAAGCCAUGAAACACAUAUUGACCACUUCAUCUUCAUUUUUCUAUUUGGAUGAUUCCAUGAUUCCGUGUCACUUUCACUCCAAGUGACAACCAUGACUUUCUUCUUCUUUUUUGCACUUUUGGACUCUUUCUUUGAAUAAAUCUUUAUUCCCUUGAUCUUUCAAUACUUGAUAUACUUUCUGAAUUAUUGGUGAUGAUAUCAACAUCCAUCUUCACUUUCCUCAUCUUCCUCAUCAAUUAUGGAAACUAUGAAUGCCAUUUUUUUUCUUCAACUUCUUGAUAAUUACUCAUAUUUAUUUCAUGAGUCAUGAGUAAUCUAAUAAGUUCUUGAAGUGGGAGCUUGGUGAGAUUUUUGUCUUCUUGGAUUAUGGUCAUCUUAUCUUUCCAAUUUUUUUUGGUAAAAACCUCAAAAUCUUCAUGACUUUCUUUAUUUUGGUGUAAGUUUUUCCUAAGGCUUGAAAAUGGUGCCUAUAAACCUAGUGAAUAUUCAACUAAUUUUUCAAUAGCCUUCAUAGUAAAUACCUAAGGAUGUUGAUUUUAGACUACAUGAGUAAUUUCUAAGAGUUUCCAUAUGGCUUUGGUGGUUUCACAUUGAGAGGUCAUAUUAUAUUCACUUCUAUCUAAUACACAAUGGAGAUAACAUAUAACUUUAACAUUUAGUUGUGUAUUUAUCUCUUCAAACACAAUCCAUUAAUGACUUGGCUUGGGAAAUAUCAUUCCAUUUAUAAAUGGUUCUUGAAAGAUUUUUUUUUUUUAGGUCUUUUCCUACUUGAUUUUUCUUUAACUUAAUUUAUCUUUAUGAUAAUCAUUUUCUUGUUACCUAAGUGCACUUAAGAUAAACCAUUAUAUGCAAACAUUGUUUUGUUAUCAUAAAAACCAUGACUAACCAAACCUUUGCUUCAUAAGAGGUUUAUUUAUUUAUUUUAUUAUUAUUUAUUUAUUUUUAACUUUUAUCUUAUUAGAAAAAGUCAAAUUUUUUUUUCAAAUUUUUUCUUUUUCAAACUUUAACUUUGUUAUGAGACUUAAACUCAAUUUCUUAUAUAAAAUAAUCCAAAUUUAUUUUAAAAACUUUGAAUAAUUAUUGUCUUAAAAAUGAAUUGAACUACCUCAAUUUUAUGUAAUAUGGAUGAAUUUACUAUAAGUUAACAAAUUUAUUAUCAAAAAAAGGCUAACUACAACUAAAAUAGAUUCAUUUGUUUCUUAAAAAAAAAUUAAAAUCUUAAAUAUUUUUAUAAAUUAUUAUUCAAAAACAAAAUCAAUUGUAUAAAAAUAACUUAAUUUAAAUAAAAAAAUAAAUACACAAAAUUCUAAAAUUAAAACUAAAAAUCUAUUGCAUGGAGUCUUUAUUUUUAUUUUAUAUUCUUAAUAAAAUUGAAUUUCAUAAAUCUCUAUAGAUUCCUCUAUUAAAAAUGAAAAAAAAUAUAUUCAAGUUAUAAAAUUUGGAUCAUAAAUGAAUUUAUUAAAAAAAAAUUAAAUUUCAUCCACUUACCCAUGUAACAAAAGCAAAAUAAACUAUUAUGGAUUCGAAUGAUUUUUUUUGUUCAUUUAGAAUUUCAAAACAUAAUUUAUACAUAUCUAAAUAUCUGGUAGAAUAGAAACAAUAGGUUUAAUAAUUAAUAGCAUAAAAAAAUAACAUAAAUGCUUAAUAACAUUCAAUUUUAUUUAGACUUAAAUCAAAUUUAAUUUUUUUUUUUAAGAGAAAAGCCAACACUUUGCUAUUGAAGUAGAGAGAGGGGUGAGAAUUCAACAGAAACAUGGUUAUUAGUGCAAAAUUGAUAAAUUGAAAUUAAGUUUUUUUGCAUUAAAGGGACACAAAGAACGUUUUGUAAAGUAAACGUGUUAGAGGAAGUAGGUAUGGUGGUAGAAUCGGUAUGUGUGAUGGGAAGGGUCAAUCCAUCGUCGAUCAUGAUAUCAUCAAAUCCUUGAUACGGGCUAUAAAGAGAGAGAUCACUCAAGUCAGACGCAACGUGGUGAGAUGCUCUACUAUCUAGCAGCCAAGUGGGAGUAGUGUUGUUGCUGAGAACAACAUGAUUGGCUCGUGGUUGCCAGGGUGUGGAGGGGUGAUAUCCCUGAGUGCUUUGAGGACAAGGUGUCGGGGAUUGUUGAUUAGUGACAAGCCGAAACAUUGGGCUUCGCUUAGCAGUGUGUCUUUGAAUACCACAUGCUUGACAAUGACCUAAAUAAGGUUUGGGUUGGCGUUGAUUAUGAGAAAACUCAGUAGUAGAGCCUGGUUGUUGUGGAGUGGUGGCUGGUGGACGCUAAUUUGGACGAUUUUGGAAGGCUGUAGGAUUUGUCGUUGCUAGUAGUGAUAGAGGAGAUGGUUGAGUGGUCUGAAAAGAUGCUUCUUUGUUGAGAAGUUUCUCAUGGAGCUUAGCAAAAGAAAUUGACGUGUCACGGACAUUAAUUACAUUAAUGACAAAUUUGUACUCAUCACUUAGUCAUUCAAGAACCCGAUCAAUAAGAUCCUUAUCAUCAAUUGGCUUCCCCAAAAGGGCAAGUUUAUCGGCAUGAGUUUUUAUCGCCUGCAUAUAUUCACUAAUUGAUUUUGAGCCCUUGGUACACUGCUUUAAUUGUUCAUUCAAUUGUUUAAUAUGAACACGAGAUGGUUUGGCAUGGGUAUUGACUAAGGUUUGUCAUGCAUCAAGGGAAAUGGUGGUGUAGGCAAUGAUCGGUUGUAGUGAAACGGAGAUAGCACCAAGGAGAGCGCUAAAGAUGAGACGAUCCUGACGCUUUUAGGUUGUGUAUGCCGGAUUUGGGGAUGCAAUACCAGUGACGGUGACAGUGGGUGGUGGUGGAGUAUGAGCAUCAUCAAUGAAGUGAUAAAGAUCAUAACCUUUAAGAAGAUAUUGGAUUUGAAUGCUCCAUGUGAGAUAAUUGGUGGAUGACAAUUUGGUGAUAUUGGAGAGAUUGAUUAUAAGAGGGGGAUGUUGAGGAUCUUGGGAGUUUUGGAUGGUGAUAGGAUCGUUGGUGGAAGAUUGGGCUCUUGAAUGUUGAAGUAGAGAGAGGAUUAUUGAGAAACAAUGAUUUGACUUUUCCAUUAAUUAAGAAUGAAUAUAUAUACACAAAACUUAAAACACAAAAAUAGGAAACAAUCCUAAAAUUUGGAGACUACAACAAAAAUAGGAAACAAUCCUAGAAUUAGGAAAUUACAACAAAAAUAGGAAGUUACAACUAAUUACAAGAAUUUGAAAAUAGAAAGAAAAUAUAUUGUAAUGAAUUUUCUAAUAUGUGCAAGUAAAUAAUGACAUACACUUUUGAUAAUGAAUAAUAUACAAAAAAAAAAGUGAAAGGAUAUAUAAAGUCCGUUUGAUAAUGAUUUUAAAAAGUAUUUUUAGAGUGUGAUUGGAAAAUAUUCUAAAAAGCGUUUUUAGUAUUUUUAACACUUAAAUAAUAAAAAGUUUUAAGUAUUAAAAAUAUUAAAAAUGAUUCUUAAAAUUACUACCAAACGAACUUUUAGUAUUUUUGAAAAAAAAAAUUAAAUGUUUGAUAAAUUUAAAAAACAUGAAAAACCACUUAUAGAAUUGAAAAAUCAUUUGUAAUGUUUUUUUUUUUUUUUAGAGAAAAACUUGAUUCUCCUAAAAAGACUUCUAUGAAAACCACCAACGCACUCAUAGUACAACGAGGCUACUUUCUAUGUUCCUUAUUGAUAUUGAAUAGAAUUUGGAGAAUGAGCAGUUUCUCAAUUCAAUCUAUUGGAUUCUAAAUAUAUUACAUUUGUCUAUGGUAGGACAUUACAAAGAUGGACUGGGAUUUAUGAUGUGUCAAUUGCCAAGCAUACCUUAAGUCACUUGAUUGAUGUCAACUUUAUGAUAAACAUGACAUUGGAAGCUCUAUACUUUCAGAUCCAAACCUUCCUCUUUUCAAUUCUUUAAUUGAAAAAUAAUGAUGAGGUUAUGGAGAUAAAUGUCCUUUUUUCAUACCAAGCGAAGUGAUCAUGUGGGUACACAUGCCCACUUGGUGUUUAAUUAUUGGGACUCUUCACCUGCCGGUCAAAAUGGUCCCUUUGGACCAUAUAUAUUAUUUGGAAAUAUUUUGAUAAAAUAGUCUCUUUGAUACCACCGAGGAAACUGAAAGAGUCAUUGUAUUUAUUUUAUUAUUGUUUUUUUAAAUAAGUUUGAAAUUAUCUUUUAAAGUUCUGAUUUCUGAAAAGGAAGAAAUCAUUAUGCCUUUAGUAAGAAUAUAAAAAUUAUUUUUUAUGUAUUUAUUUUAUAAUUUUAAAUUAACAAUAAAUUAACCACAUAUAUAAGAUAUGUGUGUUACAGUCAUAUAUAAGUUGUUUUGUUCCUUAAUUCGAAAAGAUGUCCAAGUCGUUAAUUUCAAUCGAGGGGACAACUUCACCAGAAAGUCGGGCCUCCUAGUUACGGCAGAUGUGUCGGUCCAUAUAUAAAGAAAUAAUAUUUUUUCUAUUUUAUAUAUAUAUAUAUAUAUAUUGGAAGCCAUCUGGUAAAGUGUCUUGCGUUGAAGAUGGUGUAAGAAGAGAGAGGGGACUCCAGUUUGCUGCAUUAAGCCGCAAAGUGAGGGACACAGAAAAGAAUGGGGUCCUUGUCGUUGGUGCUAAUUCUUCUGUCUCACGCCUGCGCUGUGAGUGCUUCAGAUUCGCGUCUCCACAAUGAUAACAUAUUUAUCCUGGCCGGACAGAGCAACAUGGCUGGACGCGGUGGCGUUAUUAACGGAACCUGGGAUGGAAUUGUCCCUUCCGAAUGCCAACCCAACCCAUCCAUCCUCCGACUCACUGCCGGACUCACAUGGGUGGAAGCUCGAGAACCCCUCCACGCUGACAUUGAUACAAACAAGACAUGUGGGAUUGGACCUGGGAUGGCCUUUGCCAAUGCCGUGUUGAGGGACCCUGCCUUUGGGAUUGUGGGCCUGGUUCCUUGCGCCGUCGGUGCGACCAACAUAAGCGAGUGGUCUCGCGGGACUUAUCUUUACACCCAGUUGGUGAGGAGAGCAAAGGCGUCCCUGCAGCAUGGUGGAAAGAUUCGAGCUCUUCUCUGGUAUCAAGGAGAGAGCGAUUCUAAGAGUCCAGAGUAUGCUAAGUCCUACAAGGGUAAAUUGGAGAAAUUCAUCCUGGACCUGCGCACUGAUCUGCGGUCUCCUAUGCUACCAGUGAUCCAGGCAUUGCCUCUUUUCCUUUUUAAAACGUUUUAUGAUUUACUUUGAUUUAACAUCGAUAGAGACCUUAGGUGAGGCGCUCAAUGCUGCCUAUUCUAAUGCGAAACUUUAGCAUAAAUUGAGGCCAAAUUUUAUUAUUUUAUCCUGUCUUUAAAAUAAGUUUGGGGAAGCAUCCAAAUGAGGGUGGGAGCCAAAGUCUGAAGGCCUUAGCAAGUGGGUUUUCCUCCAGAUCUCAAGCAUCCUCUAGUCAUAUUGAUCAGGAUACUUUUCUUGGAUACCCUAUCAGUUCUUCCUGGGUUAUCAUGCAAUAUACAAAAGGGGCAAAUUCAAUCAAAAAAUCAGUUGGAAACUCAUUAUAGGGAUAUCUUAGGACUCUGUGUAGGGAAGAUUCUGUUUUUGGGAAAGAACGUAUAAAAGGAAAUCCGAAUUUGUAAAAUCUAAUUUUAAUAUGUUUAAUGAAAAGGAUUACUUUGAUCACUUAGGUUUUACCUUUUUAAUGACACGGGUAUUAAUUUUGACUUAAAUGGGUACUAUUUUGGGGAGAAUUAUUUUUGAAAGAGUUUUCUUUUUUUCUUUUAUUUAUUUUUUUCCCAAUGUGAGUAUGGGCCGGUUCAUGUCUGCAACAAGGAGACUUAGUUGUUGGCCAAACGAGCAACAAACGGAUCCGUUCAGGCAAAGAAAAAGCAUUGGACCGUCUGCAUUUUUAUUUUCUCUCGCUUAUUUACUUAAUCACUCGCUUUAAAAUUCAACCGUGUUAUAACUUAUACGUAUGAUAGCUGGCUUCUCUGAAAUCACCUAAAGAAUGUUGAUUGUUUUAUGGGGCAGGUGGCUCUAGCAUCAGGAGGACCAUUUAUAAAGAUAGUGAGAGAAGCUCAGCUGGGAGUUGACCUUCCCAACGUGACAUGCGUGGACGCCAUGGGACUGCCCCUAGAACCUGAUGGAAUACACCUCACCACCCCGGCCCAGGUUCGACUUGGAAAGAGGUUGGCCAGUGCUUUCCUUCAGACCGUGCCCACGCCCAUUAGCAAUAAUACUUCCAAAAGGUUUUCCUCUUUCAUUUCUAAUUCUGUUAUGGAUCCAUUAUUUAGAUUUACCCUAAUGAUCCUAACCAUCCCAUUGUCUUACAUGAUGUAAGCCAUAUCAAUGCCUAACAUUCUUUGACAUCAAAUUCUUGUCCAAUUUGGAAAAACUGUGUUAUGUAUGGAAUUUUUUUUUUUCCAACAAAUUAACAUUGCUCCAUGUACUAAAUUUGAUUUAUUCAACGUAUUUGGCCCAAUUUUACACAAAUAUUCAAAAUUCUAAAACCAUCUAAACAAACCAUUACAUAAUCCUUUUGAGAUAUUUGUGGUCCUUGGAGUAUCAUAUUCUAUUACCAUUCUAAAUAUAUCCUUGCAUAAUCCUUAAUAUGCAUAAUAUGCCUUAGCCCUUUCGUGCCAAGUAGGUUACAUCUUGUAGGUAGAUUAGCUUCUUAAUCUGUGUCUUGAAAUACAACAUUUUCUAUGUUAGCAUGACUUCUACACGAGUACAAAGUAGUAAUUUCCUCAUCAGUAAGCCUCUUACCUCAUACCUCACAAUGAUAGCCCAUGCACCUCAUGUAGUUGUUGACAUAGUUGGCAUCCUUUCUACCAUGAGGAACAUAAGGGAAAGGACAUCCACCUUGGAUGUUCCAUACGUGGCAACACCUUUUUCAACUAUGCCCUUUUAGCACAUAGCUAUAUUUGGGCGAGGUGCUCUCUAAGGGUCUAUUAAAAUCAGCUUUAAAGAUAUUAGAUUUGUAGAGUUAUUUAUUUAAUUGCAAACAUUUUUGGAAACACGUCUAAUAGAGGGAUAAGAAAAAUUGAUCUUAUUGUGGCCUCAAUGGACAACUUUUAUAUGGUGUGAAGGUGGACUUCUUGACCUAAGUCAAAGGCAAUGUCCCUAAAUUUCCUAUAUUCCAUGGCUAUCCUAGAGAAGAGAGCACCUUGUGUAGUUUAUUAUUAGAGGUAAAAUGAAAACUAUUCUAAUCUUUACUAUACAACUAAAGAAUUGGUUAAAGAAUUGAAGAAGAUAGAUGAGAUUUAUUUACUUUUAUAAAGAAAAGAGAUGUGCUUUAGAGAGACCCAUGUAUAAGGAGAUUGUUAGAGUUGUUAUGAUGGACGAUAAUAUACUUGAGACCAUUUAUGAAUGAGAUCUUAUAAAAGUUUCUUGAGUUGAGGAAUUUCCCAAGCUUGGUAAACUAUUAGUGACAACCCAUUAAGGAAACUCAAUACGAGAGCAAUAAAAUACUAUUAAAUGAGAAAAAAAAAUGUGAAAAUGAAAAGAGAAGUAUCAAGAAACUCGCACUAUUAAACUACAAUAAGCUCUUUGAAGUAAACACUACUGUCUCAAACUUCAUUUUAUAAUCAAUAAAAAUCAAAUAUGAAACAACAUGGAACAACAUUAUGAGGUCUAAGAAAAGGAUAAGCAUGUUGUUGUCCAUUGAUGGAGCAUAUAGAGGUACCAUUUGCUAAAAACUUAUUCUUACCACUAGCUACUUCUAGACAUAGACAAGGUUGAGUCCCAGGCAAACAUGAUAGUAAUAGGACUUCUUGGUAAAGUUUGAUUACUUCUUUUUAUUAUAAGUCUAUUAGAGUUAAUUAGGUAAUUGACACCCCUGCGAGGUAUAAAUUGUUUCCUUAAGUAGUAGUGCGAUAUUCUAUAUUAGUUAAGAGAAUAAGGGUUUGUUUGGUUAUUGUUUUUUAAAACUAUUUUAAAAUAUACUUUUUAAAAACAAUUUUUGUAUUUUCGAAAAAAAAAAUGUAUUUUGGAAUUGAAUUCUAUAAAACAAUUUUUGUUUUAAAAAAAAAUGUUUGGUUGAGUUAAUAAAAAAAGUUUUUUAGAAUAAAUAAAACAAAAAACACGUUUGAAAGUUUUUUUUUUCUUCAAUUAACUUGAUAUUGUAAGUAUAUAAAUAAUUUUUAAAUUCACAUUUUAUUUAAAUUUUAAAAAUUAUUCUAAAAUUUAUUUACACUAAUUAUAAUUUUUGUUAAUUUUUAGCAGAUAAAUAUGAAGAUGGAGUAUUGAUAUAGAUAAAUAAUUUUUAUUAACUUUUAACAAGGUAAAUAUUAAUAUGGAGUAUGAUAUAGAUAAUAAUUUUUAUUAAAUUUUAGCUGAUAAAUAUGAACCUAGACAAAUAUAUCUACCAACAUAUAAGGAAGAAAAAUCACUCAAUUUUGAUUUGGUUCCUCUUCCAUACCCACAUCCCGUCACACUAUUUGCCCCAUCUUUUCUCUACAUUUUCCCCAUCCUCCCUCCAUCCAAAUAACCUUUUCUUUUUUCUUAUCCCAUUUAAUAAUAAUAAUAAUAAUAAAUUUCUUCUUCUUCUUCCUUUUUCUUUCCCAUUCCAAUCAAUAGUUACUGCUCACGCUCCCACCAUCCAGCAACUGACAUUGCUUCCAUCUUUGGAAACCUCACAACACCACUCCUUUCCACCUUGCUGUCAUGCGUUGUCGCUCACGGCAUCUCUAUCAUGGCCUUGCCCUUCAAAGCAUUGCACUGUAUUAGACACCUUUCACAUCCACAAUCAUGGCAAGACCACCAUGGUCUUGGUCAUUGCCCCUGGUAACCAAUAUGGUUGCCAUCUUCAUCCUCCAUGACCUUUAUUUUGUGUUGCUAGAGGAGAAACCAUAUGUAAGGAAACAUAAAAAACAAGUAAAGAAAACACGGAGAGUAGCUAUUCUAUGAACAGUAAAGAAAACAACCAAAACAUAUUUUCUUUAUUAUAUGAAAAAAGACCUUUUGAGAACACGGGAAGCACAAAAAAAAAACAAAAAUCACCUCAUCAUGUUUUCAGUAUUUUUUGUUUUCAAGAACAAAAAAUAGCAACCAAACAGGCCCUAAAUUUCUAGUAUAUAACAAUUUUCUUUAAUUGAAUAGACAUGUUUUAUAGUCUUGAAGAUCUUUUGGGUUCACAAGGAAUAAUAUCUAUGCAAAGAGAGCAUAUUGUUAUAAAAUGUAUCUAAGUAAAUCCCCACUCUUGAUAUCUAACCCUGAAAUAGAUAUUUGUCUGUUUGACUAGCACCACAAUCUUGUACCAUAGUCCUAUAAAAUUCAAUAAAGAUAUAUUUGUAUUAAGAGGGUGAUAUUCCAUAUCAAUUAAGUAAAAAAGUUUAUAACACUAUAUAUUUAGUAAGAUUUACUUAGUUGGAUAGACACAUUUUAAAACUAUAAUAAUACAUUAAGUUUAAAUAGAUGAUAUCUACACAUGAAGUAGCAAACCAUUACAAAUAAACCCUAGGGUGAGUUUAUUGAUCUCUUAAAUGACGGAUUGUAGCAUGCUCCUUUAUUUAAAAACCCUAUUGAAAUAAAAUAGUUUAAUGUAAAGGACAUCCAAGGUAGACAAGGAAAAUGUACAAAAAAGGCCACUAGGUUGAUUCACACUUACUAAUGGAUGAAAUUGAGGCAAGCUUGUCUUGUAUACCAAUAGGAUAAGUUGGAACAAAAAUUGCUUGAAGGGUUACUAGAAUCAUUAUUAUGCUUGAACAACCAUGGGAAAGUUUGAUUAUGGACUUCAUUAUCACCUAAGUCAAAACGGUAUAGAUUUAAUCAUAGUAAUCGGUGAUCGCCCAAGCAUGCUACAUUUAUAGUGGGUUCAAUUAUAGUGCAGAUACAAAAAAAAAACAUGGUUAUUCUUAAAGAACAUAAUAAAUAAUAGGGGAUGCCUAUGUUUAUCAUCAGUGAUCUAAAGCCUCACACUACCAGAUAUUUUGGAUACUUGAUUUUGCAAUUGACAUACAAUAUUUUAGUGGAUUGUCAUAAUCUUAUUUUAAACUCUAGUUAUAUGUCAUUAUGACAAGGUUUGAAGAUGUAUUUUCCUUGGACUAAAGAUUCUACCAGUUACCUGACAUGAAUACUCACUAUGGGUUACCUUUCUUUAUUGAACAUUUUUCAGGUGGGGAGCUUGAGUUUAAGGAUGUUGAGUCCUCAUUGUUUAGGAGGUUCGAUUUUUUAGUAUAGUGCAAUGAUUGACUUGGGUAUUGCUCAGUUUGAGCUUAGCUUCGUACAUAUAGUCCUUUAUUUUAGUUAAUUUUUAUGUUUCUCAUUGGCUUAGUACCUCUAGUUUAAUGGAACUUUCUCCAAUUAAGUACACACUCAAAUUAUGUUUCGUAUUUGUUUCUAUAGUGUUUUUUUUUCCAUUAGUUUUUAUUUCUUCAAUUAUUUAUUCACUUACAACUUUGGAAGAACUUUCUUGAACUAGUGAAAUUAAAAGAAUCACAAAUAACUAUAGCCACAAUUUCGAUUACACUAUUAAGACUGACAUAAAUAAGUUUUUUAUAACUAACAAUUAUUAUGGAGUUUUUGUUUAAAUUUUAGUAAAUCAUAUUAUCAUUAAGGUUGUAACCUGAACGGGUUGGUUCGACCCAACUCAAACCUAGCUUGAUGUUUAGACAGAUUUGGACAAAUAUUUUCAAUACUCCGGUUGAGUUUGAGUUAAAUUUUCAAACAACCCAAGCCUAUCACAAACCUUAUUUAAUGUUUUUAUAAUAUUUACAAUGUUUAUUAUCAUAAUUAAUAAUAUUUAUUUUCUUUUUAGAUUUUAAAGAAAAAAUUCAAUUAUAAUUAUAUUAUUUUUUCAUGUUUUUUAUUUUUAUUUUAUUAUUAUUAUUUGAAAUUUUAUCUUAUUUACUAUUUGAAUUUUGGUAUAAAUAUGUAUAAAUAAAUUUUUUUUUCUAAACUACUAUAUAUAGAUUUUGAAUCAUAUAACCCGAUUAACUUGAGUUUAACCUAAUUAAUCCAAAUUUAACCUAACCAACUCGAGUUUAACUCAUUUGUUGGUGCGACUUACUCCCCAUGAGGCAACUUUAUGAUUUUUCAAGUUAAAAGAGCUUCGGACCAAUUCGAAACAAAAAUAAAUAGAUACGUAAUUCCAAUGAAAGGAACCCAAGAACCAUAUUUUUCUCCAAUUUGAAUUUUGCUAAUGUUUUGAAUGAAUUCAAGAACAUAUUCAAAGAAAUUCUUACUGUCAAUAGAAUGAUUUGUGGAUUUGGAAUAGAUAAAAUAACUGAACCUAAUAAGACAACGAUUACAACCCAUGAAGUAAUAAGUACUUGGGCAUGAACUUGAAAACUUGAAAUUUUACCUGAAUUUAGAAAAAUGAGGUUAAAUUGAGUACCUUGAGUUAAAAGUCUAGUUGGAUUAAAUUAAGGUUGAUUGUUUCUUAAUUAAGAACCGGCUUUGGGCUUAAUUAUCAUAAUCUUACUUGUAUGCUUUUAUUAUUAUUGGAAACCCUUCUUAAAUCGUUUUAUUUGUAUUUUCAUUUAUCCCUAGUCCCAACCUUCAUUCAAAUUUAGGUUGACAAGUAUUUUCGAUCUCAAACCAUGGGAAUCCCUUUGAUUCAUUGCGUCACUAUUUGAUUAUCACAAUAUAUAUAUAUAUAUAUAUAUAUUAUUAGUUUGUGUGAAUUUUGGUGUUGUUUUUACUUAAAACAAUUCACUUUCAAAGAAGAAAACCUGUAAUAUUUUCCUAGAUUCCACUCUUAAGUAUAAAGUUUGCCUUUUAAAAAGACUAUUUGAUUUUUGACUUAAAAAUAGUUUGAGACUAAGCACUCUUUUUUAUUUUAUUAUUGAUCAAAAGAUUUUUAAACACUUAAUACUACGUUAGGUUGAUAAGAUAGAAUAAGAUAAGAUAUGUAUAUCGUAAAAUAUCAUAUCUCAUUUGAUAGGAAAUAUAUAUAAUAUGAUAUGAUAUUCUAAUAUAGCAUGUCAAAUGAGUUAUAUUAUGUUUAUAUUUAAUUUAUGAAAUAAAUAAAAAUAAUAAUAUGAAAUAUAUAUUAUUUUUAAUGUUUAAAAUUAAAAUUAUAUUAUAUUCCAAUAUUUUCUAUUUAAAAAAUUGAAAUUUAUCUUAUAUUUAACAAUAUUCAUUAUUAAAAUAUUUAAACUUUAUAAAUAUUUUUUUAUGUUAUGUUAUUCAAUAUAUAAAAAUAAUUUAUAUAUUAUAUAUUAAUAUAUGUUUAUAAUUUUUUUUAGUUUUAUUUUUUAACCAUAAAUUUAAUUUACAAUAAAAAAAUUAUUUUAUAAAAUGAGUAUAUAAAAAUAAAAUAAAAACUAAUUAAAAAAAAGUUUAUAAUAAUAUACAUAUCUCAUGACAUAAUAUGAAAUUAACAUAUCUCAUGUAAAACAAGUAAAAAUAAGAAGGUGGAUAAUAUAUCACACUACUUAUUCUAUCUUAUGUUUAGUUGAACAUAGGAUAAAAUAAGUGAUGGAAUAAUCUUAUCUCCAACCAAAUAUGAGAUAUGAUAUAAUAUCCGUUUUUUUAUCUUAUCUCAUAUUAUAUCUAAUCAACAAAACAUGACCUAUACUAUUAAAAAGAAAAAUUUUAAAUUUUUUUACCUCAAUUCUUUUUAUCAUUUUUCUUAUUUUUUUGAAAUUUGAAUAAAAGAUUCAAAAAGAAAUUUAUUAUAAACCCAAAAAAAAAAAAAAAAACCAUUGCAUCAGCUAGAAGGGAAACGUGGUCUCUUAUUUGUUGACACAAUUCCAUGAUUUGUGUCUAGGACUAUAGUCAUGUUUGAUUAGGAAUCUGCCUAUUCAACAUGACUAGCAUAACAUAAUCAUUUGAGCUAUUGAGAUAAGUUGGGUCAAAACUCAUUAGAAAACAUAAUUUAACUAUAAACCAAAGACUUACUUUUACAAGACUAAUCGUUUGAAUCAUAUGUGUGUGUGGGCAAGACGAGGAGUGGCCGGGAAAAAGGGUGCCUAGGUAUUGACAAUAAUGGUUGGAUUAGGAAAGGAGGCGGAGCGGGACAUUACUAUUGCCAUCCGAUUAACUUUGUACGACCAGCAGAGGAGUAUCCAGGUAAGUGGGGCCAGAUCCGAGUCAAAAGAAGGAUAAAGAAAAACGUACAAUAAUUAUGACCCAUGACCAUCAUCAAUGAUAUAAUUUUGUCACAAGGGAAAGAAAAUUACUUUUUCUAAAUCCUUCUCUCUAUUUUAAGAAAAGCUUUAAACAUUUUUCAUCUUUUCAUUAAUUUUUUGAGUUUGCCUUUAGUUAUUACUAAAAAAAAAAAAUCACUUUUACUAUGUAUUUUCCUUUCCUCUUCGAUAGGUUAAAUUUGUGUCUAUAAGAGGAUUUAUACUUGGACUGGGGAUCUUAGUAGAUAUUUGAAUGAUUUUGAACUCUUUUUAACCCUAGUUGGAAGCAGUAUAAAUAGAUUGGAUUAUUUUAGAUAUGGUUUAAUUGCGAAGAGUCCGGGGUGAUAUUCUGUGUUGGAGGAGAGUUCAUUAAAAUGGAGGCCCAAGUUCGUUGCAGUAGAAGCACUAAAACCAUGUCGACAACCUGGCUUUUAAGGUUAUUUUGUACGUUGUUGGCUGUAUCGUAUUCGUAUCCCGAGUUUGGUAGGGCAUUAGAAGCACCCAAGGACAUCUUUAUUCUGGCAGGUCAAAGCAACAUGGCCGGUAGAGGAGGUGUUCGCCAUGGCAAGUGGGAUGGGAACGUGCCACCAGAGUGCAGACCUAACCCAUCCAUCCUCCGACUCAAUCCUCAACUCCAAUGGGAAGAGGCACACGAGCCGCUUCACACAGGCAUCGGCCCUCCAAAGACUCAAGGGGUGGGACCCGGCUUGGCGUUUGCCAAUGAGAUCCGAGCCAAAGGUUCCAUGGUUGGGGUUGUGGGACUGGUGCCUUGUGCGGUUGGGGGAACUAAAAUAAGUGCAUGGGCGCGUGGGACGACGCUGUACAAUGAAUUGGUGAGACGAACGAAGGCCUCCGUGAGUGGAGGAGGACAGCUCCGAGCCAUUCUGUGGUAUCAAGGAGAGAGUGAUACAGUGAGAUCUGAAGAUGCAGAGGCGUACAAGGGCAACUUGGAAAAGCUUAUCAUAGACUUGCGCUCUGAUCUUAGUCACCCCACUCUCCUCUUCAUCCAGGUCUCUCCCUACUUUCCUUAUUUCGUUUAAUUCACAGGUUUUAAUUUUUACAUAUUUAAGUUUAUUGAUAUCCUAAACAUAAAUUGAUUAUUAAUUAUAUAAUAUUAGGAUUGAUUUCAAUGAGAGCAAUGAGGCUCAGUAUAAACAUACUAAGCCACUAAUAUUAAAUUUAGUAAGUUAAAACACCUAUAUUUUAUAUAUAAAUUUUAUUUUUUUAAAGAAUAAAACUUAAUUUUAAAGAAUUUUUAAAUACUCUUAUCAUAUAUAUUUUUAUUUAAAAUAUUUCUAAAAAAUAAAUCUGAUAAAUAAAAUAAAAUUAUAAGAGUGUUAAUUAAAAAAAUUUGAAACCAAUAAUAAUUGAGUACAUUUACAUCAACCCUAGGGAGUCUCGAUGAAAUUAACCUAUAUAUAGAAAAAAGAUAAUUUGAUUAUUAUAAUCAAAUGACUUGAAUUAUUAAAUAAAUAAAAAUUUAAUGUUUGUGCUAAAAUCUAAUAACUAAUCAUGAUUUGAUUCUAGCACCAAUAUAAUAAGGUUAGGAUGAAUUGUAUUUCAAAAAUCUUUGGUUAUAAAUCUUAGAUCAAUUAAUUACAUAAUUGCCCUAAUCAUUUAGGUGGGACAAUGUCACAAUAGUUAUAAUUUAUAAUUAUAAUAACUAUUAAAUGGUAUAAAAUUACCUUUUAAUAUUAUUUAUACUCUAUAUAUGUUCAUAACUUUAAAUAACAUUUAAAAGGCUAACUUGUGAUCAAAAAACAAAACAAAACAGGAACUCUUCUAUUAUAGGCGGACUGAGAUUUUUGUUAGGGGGUAAGAGAAAAAUAUUAUAUUAAAGUCAUCAUUUAUGAAUUGUAAGAUAAGUAGUGGUAUUAAUUAUUAUUAUUAAAAAAUUAAAUAAUUUUAAAUAUUAAAGUAAACAAUUAUAUCUUUUGGUCUCAUUGUCUUACCAUUUAAUCUUAUUUAUUUAUAUUUUAAUUUCAUUCUUUGUGCAGAUUUAAAGUUUUUUCAUUAUAUUAAUAGUUGAUUAUAUUCUUGAGGCCAAACAAAAAUAUAAAUAAUUACUAAGAAUUUAACCAUUUUUUUUUAUGCGGUUAAGCUAAUCAUAAAAAAUAAGUAUAAGAAAGAAAAAAAUUGAAUGAACUAAAAAUAAUAAGUACCAAUAUUAAAUAAGAUUUUAUUUAUUUUUUAAAUUUUAAUUCAAUUAUAAUAUAUUAUUAGUAAUUAAUAGUACAUAUCAGUUUUUUGGUAGCAAUAUUUGGUUACCGUUAUUUUUUUAUUUAAAAAUUUUUAAAAUUAAAUUUAUACCCCCGAGUUUUGGUUCCGCCUGUGCUUCAUAUACUUUUACUAUAAAUAACCAUAGUAAUUAAUUCUAGAGUAGACAACACAUUAAUUUAAAAAUAAUAACUUUAUGAAUUUUAAUGGAUGGUAUAAAACCAAUUUUAAGAUUUAAGUAUUGCCCUUACAGACAUUCAGGUCAAUUAUGCUCAUCAGAAUUAUAGUCCAAUUGAUAAAGAUUUUGAGAAAUGUUUCUAAUAUUUCUAAUAUUUAAAAAAUAAAAAACUUCAAAUAUAAAAAAAAAUUAAAAACAUUUUUUAAAAUCAUUGUCAAACAUAUUUUUAUUGUUGUAAUGUCCGUAUUUAUAAUGCUGAUUUUGUCUAUAAAGUUAUAGAAAGAAAUGAU
rnacentral:lncRNA from 1 species